CAUUUUAAGCCAAAUUCCACGAAGGGGCUCGGGAUUAGCUCGGAAGCCUUGGGAUCCGUACAAAAGGUCCUUCUAGACCAGACUCAACAUUUCAGCGCUAAUAAAACUGGCAGUGUUGCAUUUUGAGGCCGUCUUUCUAAAGUUUUGACCAAAGUCAACCAUUCAAGUUUCAGAAGCUUUGAAGCACGGAAACUUACAUAGAAUCCAAACGAGCGACCAGGUGAUCGAAUUGUCAAUCCUAGCACUUGUGAAUAUUAAGGCUGCACAAAUACACUACACCCAAAGACUCAAAUGUAGAUCAGUGGUUAAUCUAGAAGUAGGAAAGUAUGUCUUGAACAUACUGAAAGAGGUUUUAAAACCUAGAACACGGGAAGCCAUCCUAUUAAUAAGAUAGGUGGAUGUCAAAAGAGCUUCUCCUCAAAGAAAUUUAGGGACUCCAAUUGUGAAUAUUAAGGCUCUAGUUACCUCCAUAAGAUGCAUAUAUUUUCUCUUAGCUACUCCAUUUUGUUGGAGUGUAUUAGGACAUGAACUUUGGUGCAUUAUUCCCUUGGAAGUGAAAAAAUUGCCUAAAUGGUCAUUAAAAUACUCUCCCAUUAUCACUCUGAAAUAUUUCAAUCUUCUCAUGAAAUUAUAUCUCGGACCUAACUUAAAAAGCCUCAAACAUAUGUUUUACUUCACUUUUGUCUUUUAAUAGGUACCAAGUUAGUCUAGUGUGAUCAUUUAUGAAACUCACAAAUCACCUUUUCCCAUUUACAGUUGUUACCUUAGAAGGUCCCCAAACAUUGCGAUGGAUUAACUUAAAGUGUUUUGUGGCAUGGUAUUUUUGGGAAGAAAAGGAUGAACGUCUGUGUUUUGCCAUUUCACAAAAUUCAUACUGGAAAGAAGAUGUACUUUUAUUCAUAAACAACUAAGGUAACAAGAGUUUCAAAUAUGAAAACUAGGAUGACCAAGUCUAUAGUGCCAUAACAUGACUUUAUUAUCAACUUGAACAAAGUUAAAACAAGCUGAACUAAAAUUUUGCUGAGUUGUCCCCGUUUUCAAGAAAAUAGAGACCUUCAGACUCUCUAGCAUAGCCAAUCAUCUUCCCCGAGACCUUGUCCUGAAAUACGCAUGAAAUAGAAUCAAAGAUAGCACCACGAUUAAGGUUUUAAGUCAAUUUGAUGAUGGACAAAAGAUUAUGAGAUAAUUUUGGAACAUGAAGGACACAAAAAAGUGUCAAGAGAGGGGUUAGUUUGAUCGUCCCUUUUCCAGCAAUUGCUGAGAAGGAACAUCAACAACUUUGACUUGUUUAUUUCCUUCUAUAAAGGAGUGUAGGUUGAGAAAAAAUGGAAAUUCCAUGUCAUGUGAUCAUUAGCCCCCGAAUCUAUGAUUCAAGGACUUAUCUGUACUCACAAAAAUGGAUGGUACAUUACCUGCUUGGGAAUAAGAACAAGUGGGAGUAGAAGGAUCAGAUUUAUUGGUUUGGAGUUGAGGUUGGAGAAAUUUUUGCAGUAGCUCUACUUGUUCCUUAGUGAAAGGUCGCAUUUCUAGAGAAGAUUGUAGCCCUGAUGCUGAAAUGCCCGACCAUGGUUGUCUGCCAUUUUUUUUGUUCCAGCUAGGUGGUCUCCUAUCCUAUGGAUAUUCCAGCAAGUCUUACGAGUGUGCCCAUAUUUUUUGCAAAAAUUACACCACGGCUUCAUUGUUGUCUCGGUCAAAAUUUUGUUAAUAGAACUCUCGACUUCUAUUGAUGUUGCUGGGUGACGUAGCCCGGUCAAUGUUGUUUUAGUUACAAGAAUAACCUUGCUCUGAUACCAUGAAAGUUUUGGUACCAAAAUUGUACAAUUUUAUUCAUCCAUAGAGAUACAAAUUUAUUGUAUAGAAAAAUAAACUAGCUAGCAAUCAGAUCCCUUGAUUCUAGGAAAUUUGAGAAUCAAGGGAUGAUUCUAAUAUCCUAACCUAUUCAAUAGCAUAUCAGAUAUGAUUUUGUUCGAUCAAUUUAAAUCCUACAAAAUCAUAUCCAAUCACACUUAGGUAUUUACAAAUCAACAAACCCUUUGGGGUGGGCCAGUGGACCCUUCGGGGUGGCCCAGUGGUUUGAGCUUGGGACUUCCAUGUUGGAGGUCUCAAGUUCGAAACCCCUUGCCAGCGAAAGCAAGGGGUUUGCCUUAUGGGUCGAGCUCGUCGCACCAGGCUUGCCUAGUGCGGAUUACCUAUUCUAUGUGGUUUGCGAGCUAUUGCAUAGGAGCGGAGUUUUUACCCAGUGCGCACCCAAAGGGUAGCGGCUGCGGGUUUCCCUUGUCAUAAAAAAAAAUCAACAACAACUAUCCUGAUACUGUAUGUUGAUUAUAUCAUACUUACGGGAGAUGACUUGCCAGAAAUGAAGAAUUUAAAGAAACAGGUGGCCUCAGAAUUCGAGAUCAAAGAUUUGGAUCAAUUGAAAUAUUUUCUUGCCAUGGAAGUAGCAAGAUCAAAAGAAGGCAUUAUGGUGUCACAAAGGAAAUAUGUACUAGAUCUUCUAAAAGAGACAGGCAUGAGUGGUUGUCGUCCAUCUGAAUCACUUAUUGAUCCGAAUAUAAAAUUCGGAAACAAAGAUGGAAAUUUAGUUGACCAACGUCAAUAUACUUAUCACACACUCGACCUGAUAUAGCUUUUGUUGUAAGCUUAGUCAGUCAAUUUAUGCACUCUCCGAAGAAAGAGCACCAAGAAGCGGUCUACAGAAUUCAAAGAUAUCUGAAAAGCUCACCAGGGAAAAGACUGUUUUUCAUAAAAGGUCAAGAUAAAGGCGUUGAAAGCUUUAAAGAUGCAGACUAGGCAGGUUCUACUAUUGAUAGGAGGUCUACAUCAGGAUAUUGUACUUAUAUCUGGGAAAUCUCGUGACUUGGAGGAGUAAAAAGCAGAAUGUUGUAGCCCGUAGCAGUCCUGAAGCUGAAUAUCGAUCUAUGGCCCAUGGGAUCUGUGACAUGACUUGGCUCAAGAAGAUGAUGGAAGAACUAAAGAAACUGUUUGUGUUACCAAUGAAGUUAUACUAUGACAACAAAGCCGCCAUAAGUAUUGCUCACAAUCCAGUUCAACAUGACAGAACAAAGCAUGUUGAAGUGGAUAGGCACUUCAUAAAAGAGAAGAUUGAAAAAGAAAACGUGUGCAUACCUUUUGUCCCAACAAAUCAGCAAAUUGCGGAUAUUUUCACAAAAGGCUUGUUUAAACCAAAGUUUGAAAUUCUUGUAAGCAAGUUAGGCAUGAAAGAUAUUUACAUGUCGACUUGAGGGGGAGUGUUGAUUUGUAAAUAUCUAAGUGUGAUUAGAUAUAAUUUUGUUUAAAUUGAUCUAACAGAAUCGUAUCUAAUAUGUUAUUGAAUAGGUUAGGAUAUUAGAAUCAUCCCUUGAUUUCUCAAAUCUCCUAGAAUUAAGGAAUCUGAUUGCUAACUAGUUUAUUUUUCUAUACUAUAAAUUUGUAUGAAUAAAAUUGUACAAUUUUGGUACCAAAAUUUACAGCUACAAUUGUACAAUAAGUGUGGUGUGCUUCACAACCAUAGGAAAGACUUAUACUAGACACGUCUUCUAAUGUGAAUCUGAUCUCCUGUCUGUGUACCAGAACCUGCCUUUUGAAAUGCAAAGCCCCAAAGUCAAGGACGUAAGUACAUAUGAAAUUGUAUUGUAUGUAAGGGCAGAAUGAAACAUAACUGAAAGAGAAACAGGACAACCAAUGGAGACAUAAUCAAAACAUGGAACAAUCAAGCGAUCGAAAAUAAUUAAGUUGACCUUAACGUUCGUACUUCGUAGUUCAUCAUUCAUCAGUUUAUUAUGAGAGUUUAUUAGUAUAAUCGACAUAAUCCACCAUGGGAGCACAUGGAGUCUGAUCUUGGCCCGAUUAGCUAGGCCUUUCCAUACCUUGUUGGGUGUGAAACAUACAUAACAUAGUUUUGCUAGCAAAAGAUCGAUAAUAUGCCUUGUUGGGCAACCUAGAAGAUACGCCCAACUCUACGGUGCGAUCCAAAUCUUAUGUCGGCAAACGUAGUUUCGGGCACGUGUCGUAUAGACUAAUGCCUUCUCGGUUAACCAUAUUACUCCCUUCAUUUGAUGUUCAUAAUUCAGCCCGAAGUCUCAUAAUCGUAACUCAUGCUUUGUUUUAAGAGCUCAUAAUCAUGGUUGCAAAAAUCAUAAGUAUUCAUAUGUCAUAAUUCAUGAAACAAAAAUCAUGGAAAAAUCAAGUCAUUAUAGCAUAAUGUUUAUAUUUGACAAAAAGGGCAUAAUCGUAAUUUAGUAGAACAUGCAUGGGAUUAAACUUGAGAAAAUUUAUAGGAUUCAUGGUGUUCGUAGUGAGUCUUCAUGGACAAAGAACAUCAAAAUCAUACCUACCCCCUAGUCAUCUCAUGGAGGAGAAACUUUCGGGUUUUUCAAUAAAACAAGUUGACGCAGGGAAGAUCAAUAACGUUCCCACCCGAAGGGAUAGUCUUACAUGCCUUUAAUCGUAACUAAUCACAGAUAAAUAUCCAAUAUAAGAAUGUUCAAAACCCUAGGCGUGACCUUGUUGAGUCCUUGAAGAUCCUUUGAUCAUGGAUUAGAAUUACGUUAUAGAUUCAAUUACGGUAAUAGAAUUUCUUAGAAUUGAAUUGAUCAGCGUAGGAAGCUACAGAUUACAAAUUUAUUUCUCUACCUUUGAUACUGUAUAAUUAGGGAGAAUGGGUAUAAUAUGAUUGAGCAGUGUCAGAAUUCUAUCGAACUUCGUUAGGUUUUGACAUAAACUACAUUGAUUACAAAUUAGGUAAGCUACAGAUUCUAGGCUAGAUUACAUGUCCUAGCACCUAAUACUCACAUGCUAGGCACAGUCACAAUAGCUAAAUCAAUGCAAAGUAGGGAAAUAAUCUCAACACUCCCAAAUUAUCCUCCGAAAUUAUGUUCAUAUUUGGUUACAUUUCACAUAAAAGGCAUCACUUUCUCUCAGGUUGAAGUUGAGCUUACUAUACCUCAUGAAGACAAACUACGUCAGUUGAAGUUGGAGCUUUUGAGCAAACAUCAGAUACCAAUUCUUAAAGAUGUCAAUGGAUUCAGUUCCUCUGAGAAUUCGUUUGCACUCAAGUUUGUAUCUCCUUACCAAGUUUAAUUUUUGAUAAUAUAGAUAUUUGUAUGUAUCAGCAAACAAUAUUACAGAUAUAGUUGGUUUACUAGCUGAUGGCUGCUGUUAAGAUAUGAUAAUGCUGUUAAGUUCUUUUUCAUAACCACUCUCACCCCCUCUCCCUCUUCAGGGAAGUUAGGUCUGCUGACGCUCAAGGUAGGGGAAUUCCACAGUCAAUUCGUGCAUUUGCUCGUGUUCUGUGCUCCAAUUCUCCACAAGGUCCUAGGGUCAUCUUUUUUUCCGUGCAUUUGUUCAGCUAUUUGUACAGUCAAUAUUUCCUAUUUCACAUUAUACUAACCUUGUUUAAACUGUAACAUGUAGAGAUAAAUGAUUUGGCCAUGGAAGAUGCAGAAAAUGAUGGUCGGGUGGCUCGGCGUCCACUAAAGGACAAGAGCAGAGAGAUUUUAGCACAUCAGUUUUUGCUCUCAAAAAUCACUGGGCUAAUAGAUGAGUAUAAUGUAUCUAUUAAGGUAAGAAUAAAUAGUUUAUUCAUAUGUUUUAGAAAGAUUCAUAUAGAUUCAGCACGGAACCACAAAUAAGAAUUUGUUAGGUGCCAGUGAUCUGGAUAGUACUUUUGCUGACAGGCCAUACCGAGAGAGAAGUGGAUAUUUCAAACACCAGAGUUGCAAGUUACUUUGCAGGCACUGCUGAUGAAAAUCAUGAAAUGCAAAAAACUUGUAUUAUAUUAUUUAAUGCUAAACCAGCACAAAAUGAUGCAGAAGACUAAGUUGAGUUCUCUAUGCAAGAUGCAUUUCUACUUGGCCGCUAAAGGGGGGCAGCAGCCCUUAGAUGGAUCUCCUGCCACCCAUGCAGGAAGGGUUGCGCUAACAAUAAGUUUCAACCCCCCUUUGUAUGGGAUUGACAUAUGCUUACAACUACUAUGCAGUAGUGAGGGAAAAUGCCAUAAUGGCUUCAUGACUCUAGCUUUUAGCGAAGGAAAUAUGACUUUUUCUUCUUUUAAGGUGUCUCCUGCUACUUCCACUUUUUUUUUCCAGUAAAAUUGCAGCCUUCAAGAGUAGUAAGAAGUAGGGUGGGCAUUCAGUUCUUCGUGUUGGUUCGGUUAUUCAAUAGUGAAUAUGUUUGGGUCGGUCUUUUCUAAUUUGGUUCUUAGGUAUGGGCCUUAUUAAUGCGCUACUUUUCUUCUUGUUAAAUGGCUAUUUUUUUAAGGGAUUCUUACAUGGAUACCGCACAACAAAAUUUCAGCUAAUGGCCGCCUGUAUAUGUAAUGUAUCUAUCUUAUAUAAAUAGUGUAUAGCCGUAUAUAUAUGAUGUAUAACUGUGUAUAAGAGAUGUAUAUGCAUACUUAUACAUUGUUAUACAAUAUUUAUACAUUGUUAUAUAAUGUAUCUAUAUGUAUAAAUAGUGUAUAAGCAUGUAUAUAUGAUGUAUAAAUCUAAGUUUCUCUGACACUUCACUUUUGAUGUUGCACCCGUGUCGACACGACAUGGGUGUGGGAUCCGUGUCCGAUUUGGUCAACCAAUUUUGGGCACUUUGACCAAAAUCAAUGGGGAAAGUUUGAACAGUUUUAAUGAUUUAUGUAAUCAAUACAAAAGCUAAGGUGAAAUUGAAGAAAAUGGAAUACCUUUUAUAUUGAAAUUUCUAUGUCACUCCUUUUCCUUUAAUCUCCUUCCUGGAUUCUCCUCAAGUUCUCCACAUAAUAUCUCAUAAUUUAGGUUUUAUAACUUUAUUUUUAGAUGCUUUAAUUAUUUUGAGGCGAAUCCCCGCACCAGUAUCCAUACAUGGAUCCAUAUCCCCGCAUCUUAAAAAUUAGAUCAUGAAGGAUCCAACUUUUAGAUCCACACCCAUAUGAGACAGCCGCACUCGAGUCCGAGCAACUUAUGUAUAAACAAUGUAUUCACACUAUUAUACACAAAAUCAAAUGCUAACCAGGUUGUCUUCUUCAUCAACUAUUCAAUUGCUCGAAUCGGUGCGAAACAUGUCUUCUUCAUCAACUGCUCAAAUCGGUUCGAAACAUUUCCAAUCAACAUUAAUCUAUCUCCCAAAGUAGACCUCAGACAUGGAGAGAAAGGAGAAAAGAACUUGUCAUACAGACGAUCAAGGAAUAACUUGGCACCGCCAAAACGACAUUAGAGGUUUGUUGGAUGACGGAAUGGGUGUAAUAGCGAAGGUUGUGCGAGACUCUUAUAUUGCUGGCACCGCCAACUUCUACAAUUUUGUUCACCACCGAUCGCAACCAUGGCAUCGCCAAUCAAAUAAUUGAGUUUUGGUUAGAUUCUCCCAUUGUUGUGAAAGGUGAUCGCCUUGUUGCCAAUGAGGCGAGACAACCCUUCAUCCCCUUUCAGCUUUGUGACGAUGCAAUCUUCAAAAGGAGAUGCCAUGGAGAAAAUGGCGACAAAAGCGAGAGGCAACAAAGGCGUUGCCUUUUGUAUUUUCUUAAAAACAGGCGACCAAUUUAGGGUUUUAAAAGUUAAAAAAGGUAAUUUUAGGGUUUUCUUUUCAAAAUGUACAAUUACACUCUUAGACUGCGACUGCAACUCCGACUCCAACUAGUCAUCCGUGACCAGGCGGACUUUUCCAGCAACUCCAAAGUCCAACCAAUACGUAUUUCUUCUUUUCUUCUUCUAAUUUCUUUCUUUUUCUUAUUCAGAUUUCUUCUUCCUCUAUUUUUUUCCUUCUUCUUCAGGCUUCAGAGUUACUUCCACCUCUAUUUUUUCUCACUGAUUUGACUUUUGUUAUGUUUUUUUCUCAUUCAAGUUCUAGACUUAUAAUAUGUACCAUCUAUUUUUAAUUUUUCAAUUCAAAUAUUUGCUUGUAUGUUAUUGCAAUUGAGAUUUUGAUUAUUUAUAUAUGCAAUUAAAUAUUUUAAUUUUUUGGUAUUAAUUGGAGCCGCACUUCAAAAAGGUGAACACCUCGCCACUCGCCUCACCUUGUGGCGAGGCCGACCCUUGUUGCCUUUUGUCAAAUGUCUUCUUUUGCCGUCCAAAACAUUGAUUCUCCAAUGGAUGACACUGAAGAAGAAGAAAUGGAAUGAGACACUGGAACUGGAGUUUUUUUUUGUAUAAGAGACGAAGGAAGAGGUCAGAUUGUUCAGUAGAGAGAGAGACGGAGGAGAAAACAAAGGAGGAAAAUAAGGCUAUCCGCUUAUAUCUAAAAAUAAGCAAUAAUUGGGCUAUUUUGGGUAAGAACUAUGGUCGAAUGGUCACCUUGCCUAAUUUUCUCUUUUUUAAAAUUUCCAAAUGGAUUAUUUUGUGUUUUUCCUUUAAAAGAAAAAGGGGCCCACAAAGACAGUUACAAACGCAGCAAGUAAGAAAACUGUUACUGCUAAUAAUGUUGCAGCUGCUGCUAUUACAGAUGGUUUGUGUAUUAUGAUUCAUUAACCUCACAUCUGGUUAAUAAGUUCAACAAUAAAAUAAGGCAAAAGUUGAAUUAAUACUCUUAUUAACUGAUGAUCAGAAAACAGUGGAAUUUAACGAACCUCAGAAUUUAUUAAUUACUUUUAAGAACAAUCAUGAUGAUUUCAACAGUUCUAAUUCUAGUAUAGUGUUUUCUUGAAACUUCCCUACAGAAUCUUGAUACAAAAUAUUUUGUGAAAGCAAAAGGAGUGGGACAACUCAUAUUCCAACGGAGUACAUCAAGAACCAAAAACUCCAUUCUCCUUAUGUCACUCGUAAUUAAGUUAAAGUUUUUCAUAGGAUAAUUCUGAUAAUGCUGGCACAUUUCCUCUGUUUUCAUCCAUUUUUGCUGCCAAUAAUAUACAGGCUUCUGAUAAUAACCUCACUGCCCUGUAUUAGCAGUAGCAGUAGUAGUAGACAAGACAUGACUCACUUGCAGCUCAUCUAGGACAUGACUGUAGAUAGAAAGAUAUGGAUGUCGAGGAUUAGGGUAGAAGGGUAGUAGGUUGAGCAUUGUCUAGUUCGCUUUUCAAUAUUGUUAUUAUUACUCUCCCACUAUCUUAUUCUUUGAUAUUAGUAUACUGGUUGUUUCCUUUGCUUCAAUUAUCGUAUCGUUUUUUUGUUGCUACUUGCCUUUUCUUCUUUGUUUUCAGCAUAACUUCGUCGACUGUGUUUGCUUUACAUACUUGAUUUUUAUAUGCUUUACUUGAGCCGAGGGUCUAUCAGAAACAACCUUUCUACCUUCACAAGGUAGGGGUAAGGCUGCAUACAUCCCACCUUCUUCUUCUGAUCCAACUUGUGGGAUUAUAAUGGGUAUGUUGUUGUUAGUAGCAGUAAUUAGUCAGGCAGAAGUAAUAAUUUUUUGUAAUAAAACUUCGGUGAACCGGACCCUAUAACCGAGAUACGAAUAGCAAAGUUUUAGAAAAAUAGAACCGAAAAACUGAAAUCGAAGAACUGAAUUAGUAUGGUUUGGUCCGGUUUUCAGUAUUUAUGUUCUGCUUACCCCUAGUAAGAAGUGCGCUUAUUACUUCAAUCCAGCAUAUUACUCCGUUCAUUAUUAUAAUACUAUGUGUCCUGUAUAUGGGAAAGACAUUACUUAUUAACUUUAUCAUUUUCUAAGUUCGUCCAAUGUCUGGCUGAAUAAUGGAUGCCUCACAUUGUCAUGGAAAUGCAUAUUGUUCUUUGGAUACAUGACAUUAUAGGAAACAGUUAUUUCCUGGCAGACAUCACUGUGUGAUUAAUGGUAGAAAUAAUCAGUCUGUUCAUUUGGCACUCUUGAACUUUUCACUUUUGCCUAUUCAGUCAUUGGAGCUGCCUACUCUCUGCAUGGUUGGAAAACUUGAUAUGCGGAGACAAAUGGCUCAAUACCUUCUCACGGGUGAGCUUCGUGUACUGAAAUCUGCUGCACUAUGGCUGGAAAAUUAUUGUAAAACUUAAUCAAGAGUUUAGACAACAUGCUUAUGCUCAUUUGAGAAGCAAAAAGCUAAUUGCUGGUGGAGUCAGGUGCAAACUUUAGUUAUCAUAAUUUGAAUGGGCAGUUUUUCUUAAGGUGUUGUAUUUGAUUGAAUGACCUUGGAUCCUAUUAAAUAUAAGAAUUUGUUCUGUUUGCUUUCCUACUGAUGGAAAACAAUGAUCUUCAUUUGGCAUUAGGGCAUAAAUCAUCUAUACUGUCACUGCAGAUAAUUUUGCUCCCUGUGGGGGAAGUCUGGUUUCCUCAAGUCUAAACUUAUUGAACUUGCAUGUAAUCUUUUAGUUGACGAGGCCUUGCAUAGCUGCUAAAAUAGUUCUCAGGCCACUGUACAUUGAUGAGUAGAUGAGUACUGCGUGAUGGUUUCCCAAAAAAGUAGGAGGAAUCAACACUUGUUUUAACAUAAUGAAGAUACCAUUUUUAAACAAUUGAUAUGAUUGGCAUGUAAAUAUUCUGAAAAUAGAGUUGCUCUGAUUCAUCAUUCAGUGAUUACUGAGCCAAUUCAUCAUUAUACCCUUUUCAGGCUACAUUGUUUGCUCUCAUAUAGAUGCAGAUAUAAUAUUGGGGAAAGGGAGGUCCAAUUUUUCUUUCCUGGAAUGUUUAAACUGCAAUUUUAUGGGGAACAAUAUUAUUAGAAUCAACUAUAAUACUAUAGGUAUUGUAAAAUUUUCACUCGUCACAUUGCGGAUGAGAAGAUGCAUGAAGCAUGGAAAGAGGGGAAAAGACGAUUGAUUAACCACUAGACUCUUCUCAUGGAUAACAUAGUUGUGUUCAGAAAUUCCUGAACUUGUACAAUAAGCUCCCUGCCUUUCGUUUUCUGUAACUUAUCUUCCAGUUUCUCUUUUCCUUAUCUGUCUUUUUGGUUGCUUUGUCUAUGUCUUCUUAAUGAAUGUAUUCCUAUUGGCUCUCAUAGCUGUUAAAUUGUGAGCUGUCUUUUAUUNNNNNNNNNNNNNNNNNNNNNNNNNNNNNNNNNNNNNNNNNNNNNNNNNNNNNNNNNNNNNNNNNNNNNNNNNNNNNNNNNNNNNNNNNNNNNNNNNNNNNNNNNNNNNNNNNNNNNNNNNNNNNNNNNNNNNNNNNNNNNNNNNNNNNNNNNNNNNNNNNNNNNNNNNNNNNNNNNNNNNNNNNNNNNNNNNNNNNNNNNNNNNNNNNNNNNNNNNNNNNNNNNNNNNNNNNNNNNNNNNNNNNNNNNNNNNNNNNNNNNNNNNNNNNNNNNNNNNNNNNNNNNNNNNNNNNNNNNNNNNNNNNNNNNNNNNNNNNNNNNNNNNNNNNNNNNNNNNNNNNNNNNNNNNNNNNNNNNNNNNNNNNNNNNNNNNNNNNNNNNNNNNNNNNNNNNNNNNNNNNNNNNNNNNNNNNNNNNNNNNNNNNNNNNNNNNNNNNNNNNNNNNNNNNNNNNNNNNNNNNNNNNNNNNNNNNNNNNNNNNNNNNNNNNNNNNNNNNNNNNNNNNNNNNNNNNNNNNNNNNNNNNNNNNNNNNNNNNNNNNNNNNNNNNNNNNNNNNNNNNNNNNNNNNNNNNNNNNNNNNNNNNNNNNNNNNNNNNNNNNNNNNNNNNNNNNNNNNNNNNNNNNNNNNNNNNNNNNNNNNNNNNNNNNNNNNNNNNNNNNNNNNNNNNNNNNNNNNNNNNNNNNNNNNNNNNNNNNNNNNNNNNNNNNNNNNNNNNNNNNNNNNNNNNNNNNNNNNNNNNNNNNNNNNNNNNNNNNNNNNNNNNNNNNNNNNNNNNNNNNNNNNNNNNNNNNNNNNNNNNNNNNNNNNNNNNNNNNNNNNNNNNNNNNNNNNNNNNNNNNNNNNNNNNNNNNNNNNNNNNNNNNNNNNNNNNNNNNNNNNNNNNNNNNNNNNNNNNNNNNNNNNNNNNNNNNNNNNNNNNNNNNNNNNNNNNNNNNNNNNNNNNNNNNNNNNNNNNNNNNNNNNNNNNNNNNNNNNNNNNNNNNNNNNNNNNNNNNNNNNNNNNNNNNNNNNNNNNNNNNNNNNNNNNNNNNNNNNNNNNNNNNNNNNNNNNNNNNNNNNNNNNNNNNNNNNNNNNNNNNNNNNNNNNNNNNNNNNNNNNNNNNNNNNNNNNNNNNNNNNNNNNNNNNNNNNNNNNNNNNNNNNNNNNNNNNNNNNNNNNNNNNNNNNNNNNNNNNNNNNNNNNNNNNNNNNNNNNNNNNNNNNNNNNNNNNNNNNNNNNNCCCCCCUAAAUUAUACAGGUGUACUUGGGUGAAAAACAGAGACCAUAAAAAUAUUCUUGAUAAUAUUACUGAUAAACCAGCCCAAUUUUUUUCCCCACCAAACAAAUUCACACUCUGCUUUCUAUAUAAGCCUCAGUCUUCAUCCACCAAAGCUCAAGAAACUGUUUAAAUCAUCUUCUAUAACAAUGGCACAUCAGUCUCUUUACCUUCUCUUCCUCGUUGUCUUAUCAUCAAUCAGCAGCCAUGUAAUUCAAGUUGAGGGUCGCCAUCUUUUGGACGCAACUUUGCCAGAUCUCCCCAUUGGCCUCCCGAAACCCGAGCUACCAACAUUACCUAUGCCCAAUCUUCCACUGCCGCAGCCUGGAUUGCCCACAUUACCUAUGCCCAAUCUUCCACUGCCACAGCCUGGAUUGCCCACAUUACCUAUGCCUAAUCUUCCUCUGCCACAACUUCCAAACCCUCAGCUGCCACCUUUGCCCAAACCGGAGUUGCCAUUACCUAUGCCAGAACUUCCCAAACCUCAGCUACCUCUGCCACAGUUGCCAAUACCAUCGCCACCUCUGCCAAGCCCUUAAGUACUAAAGUUCCUUCAAUGAAGGGAAGUGUACUACGUGCUAUCCAGGAUGACUCAUUUGUAUCAUUAUUGUCGUAUUUGUUAACCUCCUCAUGUUAAUGUUGUUAAAACUUUUGUAUGUAACUCUCUUGUUAGUAAGUCAAUUGUUUGUGUCAGUUAACAUUCCUAAAUUCCUUUUGUGAAUGAUUGCUCAACUCCAUACUACUUCUAUCAUAUACUAGCACGAUUGCAAGGUUAAAAUUUGUACUAGAAUAUAUUUACCACCCACUGAGAAAUGGAAAAAUUAUGGAACUAGUCAAAAUUAAAAUUUAUUUAUGGAAAAUAACUAUUGUUUAAAAAUAUUAUUAAAAAAGAGAGAGCAAUAUGUUGUUUUUAUAGCAAACUCCUCCCCUCUCUCCUUUGCCUCUCCUCUCUCUCUAUGUAUGUCUCUCUUCUGACGAUAAGAAUAAAUUCAUUCAAAUGUAUUCAAUUAUAUAUAAGUGAUAGUUUCGUAUUUUAUUUCUAUUGUAUUGAAAAACUAUAUUUUGUAUUUUUGUAUCAAUUGUAUUUGUAUUCAUACGAAUACAACAUGCAUCCAUCCUCUCUUUCAAAUGUAUUUGUAUCCAAUCAAAGAGAGGAAGAAUACAAUUGUAUUUUGAAUACAAUUGAUACUAAAUAAAUAAAGAAUACAAUGCAAAAUAAAUACAAAAUAUAAUCUAUUGUAUUUCGAAUACAAUUGAUACAAAACAAAUACAUAAUGCAAUGCAAAAUAAAUAUAAUCCUCUCUCCUCCCUCUCUUGAUCUCAUUUGUCUCUCUCCUCUUAAAUAAGUAUACAUUUUGAUACAAACCAAUUUAUUUUUGUAUUUUUUUCUCCAAAAUCUGCAAAAAAUACACUCUCUCCCAAAUCUAGCUCGCCUCUCUCCUCUCUGUCCUAACAUUUUGCUAUUAUUCGUAAUUAAGCAAACUAUAGCUAUAGAGUGCCUAAUAUUUGCUAUUUUUGAAAAAUUUCCCUAAGAAAUUUCUUUUUCGAUUGGCCUUUGAUAUACUUUUCCUUGAGACAAGGGUCUAUCGGAAACAACCUCUCUAUUACUGGGUAGCAGUAAGGUUUGUACAUAACUCUAUUUUCUUGCACCCACUUAUGGGAUUAUAUGGGAUAUGUUAUUGUUGAGGGAUUUCCAUAACUCCAAAUUUAAGAGGAACUCUUAUUAUUGUAGUCACAUUCUUUACCCUUUAAAAUCGAUUUUACAUUAGAUAAAAGUCAUUUUAUUAUUAAUUUCUUAAUAUUUAAAACUUUGAAAUUAACUAACUCUUUUUUAAAUUAAAUUAUGUCUUAUUUGUGCAUAGUACUACAAUUUAGGACUUUAAAAUCAAUCAAGAUUUUAUAUUAUAUAAAUUACUAGUAGAAUUACUUGCGCUUCACGUGGGAAUUCAAUUUCACGGAAUUUAUCAAAUAAUACUUAAAAACUAUCGGUCAUUAAAAUUAAAACACUAUAUUAUCUUACAUACAAGAUUAUGUACUAACGAACAUUAAUAAUUUUAUAAAUUAUCCUUUUGCUUCUUGGAAGUGUUACCAUUUGAUAUUUCUGGGGAAUUAAACAAACAUCAACUUUAGAUAUUGAAUUUUCUAAUAAAUAAAUAAUAGUUGGUGAUGGGAUAAAUAAAUUUUAGAAGGCUGAAAAAAGUAAACAAAAAUUCUAAUUUUGACGUGUAGAAAGUUCAGCGCUACCUUUUGCUUUACAUAAUCAUUUUAAAGUUCCUAAUUUAAAUGUAUCAUAAGAAAUUAUUAAUUUAGAAAAUAAAAGGAAAAAUGUAUCAUAUUGGACCACAAUUCAACUUAUCAUAUAUACUUGAAAGGGAAAAAUAUUACACAAAAAUAUUCAGUUUGUUUGGGUGCUUUUUAAAAAUCAGCAUACCAGAGUGAUGAAUUUCAAUUUGAAACCACACUUCUAUUCCAAUCGCAUUGUCGAGAAACACAUUUAUUACUUCAAAAAAAGUAUUUACAACUUGCAAUAAACUUGAGAAUCUAUCCAUACUUCAUAUUGAAAAUGCACAAUUAAUUUUUUGUGUAGUUAUCUAUGUCUUUGGAAUUAAAAGAGGCUUCAGUCUAGUCAUAUUCCUCUAUAGGUUAUCCGACACAACAUUCUUGAAGCAAUGCCAAAAGUUUAUUAAAUUUUGUCUUCUUUUAUUGGUUCACUUCGCACAUCAAUGUAUGAUAAGGUUUUUAAGGUCUCUAUUUCCUUACAGUAAUAUACCACAUUUAAAUUUUGUCUUCAAGAGAUGGUAAUAUAGAUCUUUAAGGGAUUUUUUAUUGUACCUUCAACAAUUACAGUAGAGAAAAUUUGGGUGAAUACUCAAUUAACUAUACUAACAAAUACUUAUAACAAUAACUUUGCAGAAAAUAAACUACAAAAUUUAAAGCAUGUACUCAAAAAUAUCAAUUAAUAACAUAAGCAUAAAUUAAUGACUGUAAAAUAUAUAUCGGGAUCUGUAACAAUAGAAUGAAACAGAAAGGAAACAAUUGAGUCCACUAAAUGCACAGUGUCCCCUUAAGGAAAUUAUUCCCCUCUGGUACCGAGGUUUAAAGGAAUAGAUCCCCUGGGGAUAGAAUGAUUCUUUUCACAAGUGUGUUAGUACAAAAACAAUGGUGUCAGUGAGCCACUCAACAGGAGCAAAGUACACAAAUAUUUAAUUGUGCAGAAAAAGAAGUUCAAAUUUUUUGAUGUUUUAAAAUGAGAGAAAAUCCCUCCAUUUAUAGACAACAAAGGGUAAUGUGAACAAAUGUUUAUUGUGUCUUAUCGGAAGGCCACAACUGUUUGGAAAAGUUACAACCCUUCUGAAAGGUUAACCUUUCAUAAAAGUCAAAACUCUUUAGAAAAGUCGCAACUUUUCAUAAAAGUCAUUACUUUUCAUGAAAGUAGCAACUCUUCAUAUUUCGUUCUCACAUUUUAAAUCCAACAACGUGUACUUCAAUAUCAAUUCAAAGCUCUAAUAAAUAUAAAUUGACCUUCAAUAUAUAUUGUACCACCCCAAGAUAAAAAAAUGAUUAACUCAAAUCAACAAAGGUAAAGUAAGAUUAUCGAGAAACGAUAGACUAAACAAUGCAAGUAUACAUAGGAUUAAGUUUGGCCCAGUGUUCCUAUCUGACGAUCAAUUGCUUAAGUAAGUUCAAAGGGGAACUUAUAUUUAUACAUUUAGAAGAUAGAUUUGAUUCGUAAGAUGAUAUUGACGACUGUGAAGGUUUUUGAGAGGAGAAGAAGGCUAGUUUUAGAAAUAAAUAAAUUAAAAGGGAAUCCUGAUUUGUGAAGGCGUCACGUAGCUAGGCCUAGAGUUCUCUUAUAUAUAUAUACACACACACUAGUUUCACGGCACGUGCGUUGCAUGUGUGUAUUGUAUAUAUAGUAUGCAAUGCUGUAAAAUAGAAUUAAUAUUACUAAAUUAAAUCUUUUUAGUAAAUAAUUAUAAUUGAAAGAACACAAGAUAAGUGUUUUUAAGUAAUUAAUACAAAUUGUCUUAGAGUUACUUGCAUUUUUAGAUCAAAAUGACCAAAUAUCAUAGAACAUUUCAAAAUACAUUCAAAGUUUAAAUGCGGGGAGAAAGUGACAUUUCUUUAGUAGUAUUUUUACUUCACUCAAUUUUGUAAGCAAAUCUAACCAACAAAAUUUAGAAAAAAUAUCAAUACAAAAAAUGUCACCAAUAGCUUUUCCUCUUGAGGUUAUGAACAUAAAUGAUGGACUCCAUUUAAGUACAAUUUUUCUCUUAAAUAUUCUUACUUGAAAUAUAGUAUGUGCAUGACACUAAUAAGGAUUACCAUAAAUAGUUCAAUAUUUUAUCUUUAUACACAAUCUAUCUUUUACAAAAUAUUAUUACUCAAUUAAUACUUGAGUAAGACUAUCAUAGAGAGGUAAUUUUACAACAACAAAAAAAGGUACUUUGUUGUUAUAACGAAUGGUGGUUAAAUAGAGGUUUGAGUGUAUGUCAAAUAUUUAGCUUGACCAAUUCUUUGUUAUACAUAUAUAUACACACACAUACACAUCACCUUUGGUGAAUUGUUUUUCAUUUCUUUAAGUUUCUACCUUAUCUUUGUAGAGUUGUAGUCUUCUUCUUGUUUCUGUCGCAUACAUAUCAUAUAGUUAUUUUCUAAUGAAAGAAUCUAGUAUCUAAUAGGAGAUGUAUCGUGAUAUAAAAUAUUAAACUUUUUCAAUAAUAAAAGUUAAUAGAUGAAUAAAAUUCAGUAUUAUUUAUAGAAUCUUUAAUUUGAUUUAAGAUUAUUUUAUGAUCAAUCACUAUUUUCUUAUCUAUUUUUAUAUAGCUAGCAAGAUCAGUAUGUUGUGACAUAACAUUUUCUCAAAUUAAAGUGAACACAAAAUAAGAGGAACUUCAAACCAAAAAAAAUUCUAUAGUCAAUAUAAAUAUAAAAAAGAAAACAAUAUAUGAAACAAUACAUAACCAACGAAUAAAGAAGACGAAGAUAUAUGUUCAUGCUAUAUUCACUAUAGUGUUCCAUUUGAUUGAAAUCUCUUGCCACCAAAACUUUACUUGAUCCGUUCAUUUUUACUUACAUAUCUAUUAAAAAUUAAUUAUUAUCAUGACUAUAUUAUCAUAUUAUAAGUAAAAGAUAAAAUAUAUUUUUGAAAUAGUAGAUUUAACAUCCAAUCUAAUAAGUCAAUGGACUAUGUUGAUGCCCGUUGUUUUAGUAAAAUUACAAUGACACUCCUUCGUGAGGGUAAGAGAAUAAAAAAUGAAAAAACAAAGAAGAAAUAUCUUACCCAAAUCAUAUGACUUUUUUCAUAUUUGUUGUAACAUCUCGCAAUCUAUAUAUAUAUAUAUAUAUAAAGGUGGAACAUAAGUCCGCUGAUGUGGCAUGCCUCAUUGAUCAGGAAAUGAAUUUAUAUAUUUUCUUAGAUUUUGUUGAUUUUCUUAGCAUUUUUUCUUCAUUUUUAUUACAAAGAAUUAAAAAAAUAAAACAAAAAUGCACAAGAUAAAUGAUACUGCUGUUUUAAAACGUCUAUAAACGUGGUCAUAUUAAAAGUCAAUUUCUAAUUAAUUUCUUACCUUUUAAUUAUACUUUAAUGCUAUUUCAAGUCCAUAAAAACUACCACUGAAAGCUUCAUUUUACGUUAUUUUUGUUUUACUUUCCUCCUCUCCCUUCUCAUUUUCCUUACUUAUUUAAAUAUUAUUUUUCUUCUGUAACUCCUUUCACAUGGCUUUUUAAAUAAUUAUUAUUCAUCCUUCAUUUGUUUAUAUUUUUAUUUGUAAUGUAAAGAUUUUAUAAAAAUAUGCUAACAUAAAUUUUGUUUUUUAUUUCAGGUUCUAUAAGUAGAGAUUUACGAUUUUGAAUUUGGAUAACCUUUAAGGGAAAAAAGCAGAUGAUAUUAUAGAAAAAGGUAAGAUGGAGAUGUUCCAUAUUUAAAUUGCAUAAAUAUGUGUACUUAAUUACAUGAAAAAUAUAUUUUCUAAAUAUGUAUCUAGGUGGGAUUUUUCAUGAUAUGUAUCCAGAAUUAAAUGUCAAAGGUAUGAUUUCUUUGUAUUUUCUUGUAUAAUAUGUGACAUUUCUCUAUGACCUUUAUUUAUAUUUAUAUUUAUAUUUUUUCUUUCAUUUAAACUAAUUAUUUUACUGUAAAAAAGAAUUAUUUAAUUUAUUACAAAUUUAUAUAUAAUAAUAAAGUUGAAUAUAAAAACGGUGAUGUGACCCUCUCUAAGAGUUUCAAUCCAAUUUAUCUUUUCUUUGCCUUUUUUNNNNNNNNNNNNNNNNNNNNNNNNNNNNNNNNNNNNNNNNNNNNNNNNNNNNNNNNNNNNNNNNNNNNNNNNNNNNNNNNNNNNNNNNNNNNNNNNNNNNNNNNNNNNNNNNNNNNNNNNNNNNNNNNNNNNNNNNNNNNNNNNNNNNNNNNNNNNNNNNNNNNNNNNNNNNNNNNNNNNNNNNNNNNNNNNNNNUUUUUUAUAAUAUCAUUAAUUCUAUGACUUUUAGGUUUUCAUAGUCAUAACCUCCAACUACUAAAUUAUAAAAUUUAAGAUAUUUUAUGAUAUCUCUCUAUUUUUAAUGACAAAAUAAAUUCACAAGUUUUUUAUUUCAUGAAAUUUCUACUCAAGAUUAUUCUUUACAUUUCAUUGUUCUUUGUAGUAUUAUUAUAUUAUCAAAUUCAUGCUUUAACUUGACAUGGUGAAAAAGACUCUUGAAUGUUGAUUAGUUUGUCAAAGAGGAUGUUAGACAAGAGGUCAAAAAAGUGGGCAUUGAUUUUGUAUUCUUAUUUUUAUCUAUUUUCUUAUGAUAAGGUUCCAAGGAAGAUGUGUGUGUCUUUAUUCUCCAUGCAACGUCUUUAGUUUGAAUUCUUAUAACUUUUUAUUAUUUCAAUAUGUAUUUUUGCUUAUGUACUAUUGCACAGAGAACUAUUUAUAUUUUUUUCUUUAAAGAUUCCUCAAUUUUGUUUAUAUAAGCUCAUUAUUUUUUAUUUCAUGAAACCCCUACUUGAGAUUAUCUUUUUUAUUUCAUAUUUGAAAUAGUGUUUUCCUUAAUUUUUCUUGAAGUCUUUCUCGCAUAACUACUAAAACAUAAGUUAAAGAGCAAUAUACAUUUCUUAUUUCAAGUUAAAUAACAAACAUUGAAGAAGAGUAUUAACUACUACAAAAACUACACAACACCAUAUUUUUACUUCAAUUUGCUGGAUUUUCAUUUCAUGAAAAGUUUUAUUUUUAAAACAUAGAAAGUGUAAUUCAAUUUUAUUUUGUUAUGUACUCUUCAAUUCCAUGAUAUUCACCUUCUUGUAGUAUGUCAAUUUCUUUUUUAGUUUGGGGCGGGGCUAUAAAGUAAGAUAAUUUUACUUAAUUAAUUUUAAUAUAUAUCUUGAAGAAAAUAUAGUUCUUUGACCCAGUUUUUUGGUUAUAUAAAUUUCUUUUGAUUNNNNNNNNNNNNNNNNNNNNNNNNNNNNNNNNNNNNNNNNNNNNAUCUGUGAAGUGACCAAAAUUAUUAUAACAUUUUGAUUAUCCAAAUGUCACCUUCAUGUCUAUAAUAGAAUUAGCUAGGCAAUCCAACUAUACUUAACAAUUUAAAUUAAAUAUAAUUUACGAAUGCUCAUUUUUACGUUUUAGACAUUACAAUUUCUAUAUUUUAUCAAAUUAUUUUCAUACAUCUUAUACAAUCUAUUUCAAUUAUCAUAUAAUUAUCGGUUGAUUUAGUCUUUUUUAAAAUUACACAAAAUGAUCGGUUUUGUUUUUUAUUUUAUGUUCUAAACUCUACUUUUUAAAUUUGUAUACGUCAUAAUUUCCGACAUAAAAAUACAAUUAUCUUCACUUUGUUAUGGAUGGAGUGAAUGGACCAUGUUCUUCUUUUUUUCUCACGUACUUUUAUUAAUGAGCUUUGUUUAUCUUGAAGUUGGUUAUAUGACAUUAAUCAAUUUAUGUUUAACGAAAACUGAAAAAGUACCUUUUCUUCCUUUAUGUUAUAGUAUAUUUUAUUUGUUAGAAAUUAGUUCAAUGUGAAUAAUAAAAUGAAUUCAAAUUUAAAUUUUUAUCUAUUUAAUUGAAUUUGAACUAAAAACUCUUUUAUAUUCAAAUAAUAUGAAAUGGUUAAUUUAUAUUUUUGAUAUAAUAUUUUACGACCGCGCAUAGCGCGGCUGAGUUACCUUGUUUGAAAUAAAUAGGAAGAAGAAAAUAAUUGGAAAUAGUCAUUUUUGGAAAGAAGGAAAAAUCUAGAAAUUUACUUAAGUUAGGAAAUAGUGAGUUUUUGGUCAACUUCAAAUGGACAUAACUUCUAGCUCAAGAUGAGUUAGAUGUACUUCCAGGUAUGGUUGGAAAUCUCUUGGAACGAUCUUUCCAACGCUGCCAAUUUUGAGCAAAUACGAGUUCGUAUUAGGGAGACACGCCUAUUGGAAGUUGGACUGUUCAAAUAAGAAAAUGUCAAAUCCGGAUUUUUGAAGGGUAUUUCAGUCUUUUUCUUAUCCAAUUAAUUAAAUUCAUUUUAGUGAAUUAAUUAAGGGUCUAAACUGAACUUGGUCAGUUUUAUACAUUUGGAAAAGAGUUAGGGUUUUAGAGAAGAGGAAAGAAGAGGAGAAAAGAGAAGGAGAAGCAAGGAUAUCGUCAAGUUCGUCGAGUUUAACUUGUGGAUUUCAUCGGGGGUGAUCCCUACAAGGUAUGUGGGAUCACAUAGCGUUGGGUUAGUUCACCCACGCGCCAAGCAUGUUUAAUUCAGCGUAUUUUCGUCCUAAAAAGAUUGAGAAUUUGAUGUUCUUGAUAGUUGUUCUUGAAUUAAUUUCGUUCUUGAAUAUGAGUUGGGAUUAAGGAGUUUCUUGAUGUUAAAAUGUUGUUUCCUUGAGUUGUUUGGGUUAUAUUUUCUGUAUAUGAUUUGGGUACAUGAAUCUAAAGUGAAUUUGAGAAAAACAAUCGGAUUAAAACGAUUUAGGAUCAGAAAACGAGAUCAAAAGUUCGUCAGAAUUUUGCCUGAAGGGAGGCUAGUGCGACACGCCCCCGUAGCGCACGAGGAAAUGGCACCGCGCGCCAGAUUUGAGCCCCAGUAAGUUGGGGCUGACACGACGCGCCCGGGAUGCGCCCAAAUCAUUGAUUUCACCAGUUUUCGUCGUUUAGCCUAUUUAAGUCCUUCUAAAAAUGUACUAACACUUUCCAUUGAUUCUAACUACUCUAAAUGACUUCUAAACAUAUAGAAAUCAUCCAGAAACAUGAAUCAUAACCUUGAAUCCAUAAAUUCAAAUUCAAGGAAAGUCAAGAAUCAAGUCUAGGAAGUUCUUAGAGUCUUUUCAAGAAGUGUUUUGCAAAUUCUUUUAACUUUGUUUUAAGACUUAAAGUUAAAGUUGAGUAAAGAGUAAAGAUUAAGCUUGAAGUCAUUUCUUCAAAAGUAUAUGGGGACUAUGUAUUCCCAAAGAGUUUAAAAUGUUUUCAUAUUUAAACAAGAAAGGAAACCUCGAUUUCCAAAGAGCCUUCGGGCAAGUUUUCAUAAAAGAGUAAAUGCUUUCAUAAUUAAGCAAGAGGGGAAACUUUGAUUUCAAAGAUAGCCUUUGAGCUUAAGUUUUUGAGAAAUUAUCUCAAAUCACAGAAAGAAAUAUGUUUUUAAACAUAAAGAGCUAGUAUCAUAUUUUGGGAGUAGUAUUGAGCACCGAUAUAGGGGAGCGUUCAGAGAACCCACAACCCCCAUAAACCAUGUAGCCAUCAUGGGUAGAAAAGGGUCAUACUUUUUAGAUGAAUUCUUUAAUGCUUUUUAGCAUAGACUAGUGGAUCCACUUAGUGAGUUAGGUCAAAUACUCGUGGCAAGGUAUAUGAUGGUCCUUGGCAGCGUGAGGUAAAGUGUUGUAUCAUCACUAUAGCUCUUAAGUGAUGGUUGUUGGUUAGAGAAACUCCCACAACAGUAUUUUGUAUUUUUAUAUACAUCAGUUUAUUUGCAUUUUUACAUACAUCUCAGAGUUAUAUGUAUAUUUGCAUACACAAAGAGUUGACAUCAUGUUUUAAAUAGUUUUUCUUUUAUUGCACUUGUUUUUAAACUUCUUUAUAUUGAAAUGAGUUCAGUUAUGUGGAGUUGAGUUGAGCCAGGUAAGUUCUUCAGUUCCUUUCAGAUUCUUUUCAGGCCUAUGUUGUGUUUAGCAUUCCAACUCACAUACUCAUACAUUCAAUGUACUGAUGCUAGUUGACAUGCAUCUUAUUAUGAUGCAGCCACAGGUAACUAGAAACAACAUCCAGCGCAUCGUUGAUCCAGUUGAGCUUCAGAGUUGUUGGUGAGCCUUCUUGCAUUUAUGAGGAUCCCCUUUUUCAUUACUUUAUCAUUUUAGUUCAUUAGGAUGUCAUGGGCCUGUCCCAACAUCUAUCUCAGUUGUUUUAGAGGCUUCAUAGAUAGUCAGCCAAAUGUUAGUUCAUUCGUCAUCAUUUUGUUAUUGGCUUAUGUUUAGAUUUGAGUUGCCAUUUUGGCUAAGUUAAAUGUUUAUUUUUAAAACAUUAUGAGUUCAAUUUGAGACAUGUUGAGUUAUCUAGUAUUUGGAUUCUCUUUCUUAUGUCUAAGUCUUUCGCUAAGUAAGUAAGUCAGGCCAAGGAUUUGCUUGGGGCCAGCAAUGGUUCUCGAGUUCCAGUCUCGCUCGGGUUGUAGGCUUGGGGCAUGACAAACUUGGUAUCAGAGCAUAGAGUUCAAGAGUCCUAGGGAGUCUAUGUAGCCAUAUUUGUAGAGUCCUAUUUAUCGGUAUGAAGCGCACCACAUCUAUAAUUAGGAGGUUGCAACACUUAGGAAGUCCUUCACUUCUUUCAUACUCACUUUGUGUGAUAGAAUGUAUCUCUAUAAAGGUCUCUCUCUAACUCGUUCGUGCGAGAGGUCACCAAUGUUGAAUUUCAUGAAGCUAUCCGGAUGUUAAGUCAAAUUGCGACCCAUCAAGUUGGACAGAGAUAUAAUCGAUAGGAAGUGGAUAAUACUUCAAGGAUCCGUGAGUUUUUAAGGAUGAAUCAACCAAGCUUCACAGGUUCAAGUGUCACAGAGGAUCCAGAGAAUUUUAUUGAAGAACUUCAGAAUUUUUUUGAGAUUAUGCAUGUUGUAGAUGCUGAGAGGGUGGAACGAGUUGCAUACUAAAUGAAGGGUUUCGCUAGAAUCUAGUUCGACCAAUGAAAAAAGAAUAGGGAUGAGGAUGGGCCAAUAGUGACUUGGGCUGUGUUUGAGAGUGCUUUCAUGGGGGAUUUCUUUCCCCGUGAGUUGCGAGAGGCAAAUAUAAGAGAGUUUCUCACCCUUAAGCCGGAGUCUAUGAGUGUUCAUGUGUAUAGUCUGAAGUUCACACAACUUUCCCGCUAUGCUUCGGAGAUGGUUGCUGACAUGAGAAGCAGGAUGAGUUUAUUUGUUGCUGGGUUGUCUCGUCAGUCAAGCAAAAAAGGCAAUGUAGCUAUGCUUAUAGGGGAUAUGGACAUAGCAAGGCUAAUGAUCCAUGUGCAACAAGUUGAGGAGGAUAAGAUGAAGGAUAGAAAAGAGUUUAAGAAUAAGAGAGCUAAGACAUCAGGAAAUGAGUUUGGGAAGCAAAAAUGUAAUGCGAACCGGUCUUCUUUCCACCAUAAGCAUAAAGGACAUGCUUCAUCAUCUGCUAGUGCACCUGCACCUAAGAACAAAAGUGAGUACAAUAGUCAGAAUUCCCAGAGUUUCAGAGCUAAACAUGCCUAUUCUCAAGGCAGUAUGGCACAAAGGGGUAGUAAGCCUCCUGCAUGUGCUAAGUGUCGCAGAAACCACUCAGGUAUUUGUCGUGAGGGCUCUACUGGUUGUUUCAAGUGUGGUCAGAACGGUCAUUUUAUGAGGGAGUGUCCUGAGAACAUGCAAGGUAAUGGUAAUAGGGGUAAUAGGCCCCAACUUUCUUCAGUUGCUCUACCAGACAGAGCUGCACCUCGAGGAGCUACUUCAGGUACUGGCGGGGAAACAAACCGCUUAUAUGCUAUCAAUAGUUGCCAAAAGCAAAAGAAUUCGCUAGAUGUGGUCACUGGUAUGAUCCAAGUCCAUGACUUUACUGUUUAUGCUUUGCUAGAACCAGGGGCAAGUUUAUCUUUUGUAACUCCUUAUGUUGCUUUGAAUUUUGAUGUUAUUCCUGAGCAACUUUGUGAACCCUUCAGUGUUUCUACACCUGUUGGUGAGUCUAUUCUAGCAGAGAGAGUCUAUCGUGAUUGUCCCAUUUCCAUUAAUCACAAGAGUACCAUGGAUGAUUUAAUUGAGUUAGACAUGGUAGAUUUUGAUGUCAUUCUAGGUAUGGACUGGCUUCAUGCCUGUUAUGCAUCAAUAGAUUGUAGAACUCGAGUUGUCAAGUUUUAGUUUCCAAAUGAGCCAGUAUUAGAGUGGAAAAGCAGUUCAGCAGUGCCUAAGGGUCGUUUCAUUUCGUACCUUAAGGUAAGGAAGUUAGUUUCUAAGGGGUAUGUCUACCACUUAGUCCGAGUUAAUGACUCUAGUGUUGAGAUACCUCCUAUUCAGUCAGUUCCAGUAGAAAAAGAGUUUCCAGAAGUCUUUCCAGAUGAUCUACCCGGAUUCCUCCUGAGAGAGAAAUAGACUUUGAUAUAGAUGUUCUUCCAAAUACUCAUCAUAUAUAUAUUCCUCCAUACAUAAUGGCACCGACAGAGUUGGAAGAGUUAAAGGAGCAGUUGAAAGUUCUUUUAGAGAAAGGUUUCAUUCGACCAAGUAUCUCACCUUGGGGCGCUCCGGUCCCAUUUGUGAGAAAGAAAGAUAGUUCCCUUAGGAUGUGUAUAGAUUACCAUCAGUUGAACAAGGUUACCAUUAAGAACAAGUAUCCUCUUCUGAUAAUUGAUGAUCUUUUCGAUCAACUUCAAGGUGCUUCAUAUUUUUCUAAGAUAGACCUCAGAUCUGGCUACUAUCAGUUGAAAGUAAGGGAAUGUGAUAUUCCAAAGACAGCUUUCAGAACCCGUUAUGGUCAUUAUGAGUUUCUGGUCAUGUCCUUGGGUUUGACCAAUGCACCUGCAGCGUUCAUGGACCUUAUAAAUAGAGUUUUCAAAACCUUAUUUAGAUAUAUUUGUUAUCGUCUUCAUUGAUGACAUACUAAUCUAUUCAAGGAAUGAAGAAGAUCAUGCUAGCCAUCUCAGAUUAGUUCUUCAGACUUUAAAAGAUAGAGAGUUGUACGCCAAGUUCUCUAAAUGUGAGUUUUGGCUUGAGUCUGUGUCAUUUUUAGGCCACAUUGUGUCUGGAGAGGGAAUUAAAGUUGAUACUCAGAAAAUUGAGGCAGUGCAGAAUUGGCCUAGACCCAUAUUUCCAACUGAUAUUAGGAGUUUCUUGGGUUUGGCUAAAUAUUAUAGAGGGUUUGUUGAGGGAUUUUUAUCUAUUUCAUCUCUUUUGACCAAGUUAACUUAGAAGACAGUGAAGUUUCAAUGGUCUGAAGCUUGUGAGAAAAGCUUUCAGAAAUUGAAAAAGAGGUUAACUACUGCCCAGUGUUGACCUUACCAGAAGGUACACAAGGUUUCGUGGUGUAUUGUGAUACGUCUAGAGUUGGUUUGGGUUGUGUGUAAAUGCAAAAUGGCAAUGUUAUAACUUAUGCCUCCAGACAGUUGAAAGUUCAUUAGAAGAAUUACCCAACCCAUGACUUAGAGUUGGUUGUUGUAGUAUUUUCUUUGAAAAUAUGGCGCUAUUAUCUUUAUGGUGUUCAUGUAGAUGUGUUCACCGAUCACAAGUGUCUUCAGUAUGUGUUUAGUCAGAAAGAGCUUUGUCUCAGACAGAUGAGGUGGUUAGAAUUACUCAAAUAUUUCGACAUGAGUAUUCUUUUUCACCCAGGUAAGGCUAAUGUUGUUGAUGAUUCCUUGAGCAGGUUAUCUAUGGGUAGUACCGCCCAUUUUGAAGAAGGUAAUAAAGAGUUAGCAAAAUGACAUGCAUAGAUUUGCACGAUUAGGAGUUCGAUUAAUGGAUUCCACAGAAGGAGGAAUAGUGUUGAUGAAUGGGGUUGAAUCAUCAUUAGUGUUAGAAGUAAAAGGCGAGAAAGACCAAGACCCUAUCUUGCUUGAAUUGAAGGCAAAUGUUCAUAAGCAAAAAGUAUUAGCUUUUGAACAAGGGGGAGAUGGUGUGUUGAGACAUCAAGGUAGGUUGUGUGUACCAAUAGUGGAUGGAACCCAAGAGAGGAUCAUGGAGAAAGCUCAUAGCUCCAGAUAUUCCAUUCAUCCGGGUUCCACCAAGAUAUACCGUGACUUAAGAAAAGUCUAUUGGUGGAAAAUUAUGAAGAAGAGAUAUCCACAUCUCUUCGAACCCAGAGAAAUUCUAGAUCAAGGUACUAAUCCUUUCUUAGUAUUUAUUUACAAGUUGGCAUGUUGUUUUGCAUUUUCUUGUGGGUGCUUGAACUGAAUGUUGCAUGUUACACCCUUAGCCUAUUAAGAGUAAUCUCAUUCGAGGAUGAAUGUUCCCCAGGGGGAUAUAUUGUAACAUCUCGCAAUUUGAAAUAAAUAGGAAGAAGCCAAUAAUUAAAUAUACUCAUUUUUGGUCAACUUCAAACAAACAUAACUCCUAGCUCAGGAUGAGUUAGGUGUACUUCCAGGUAAGGUUGGAAAGCUCUCGGAAUUAUCUUUCCAACUCCGCCAAGUUUGUGCAAAUCCGAGUUUGUAUGAGUAAGAUUCCCCCAUUGAAAGUUGGGAUGUUCAAAUAAGGAAAUGUCCAAUCCGGAUUUUUGAAGGGUAUUUCAAUCUUUUUCUUAUCCAAUUAAUUAAAUUUGUUUUAGUGAAUUAAUUAAGGGUCUAAACUGAACUUGGUCAAUUUUAUGCUUUUGGAAAAGAGUUAGGGUUUUAGAGAAGAGGAGAAAAGAGAAGGAGAAGCAAGGAAAUCGUCAAGUUCGUCGAAUUCAGCAUGUGGAUUUCGUCGGGGGUGAUCCAUACAAGGUAUGUGAGAUCACAUAGCGUUCGGUUAGUUCACCCACGCGCCAAGCAUUUUUAAUUCAGCGUAUUUUCGUCCCAAAAAGAUUGAGAAUUUGAUGUUCUUGAUAGUUGUUCUUGGAUUGAUUUCGUUCUUGAAUAUGAGUUGGGAUUAAGGAGUUUCUUGAUGUUAAAGUAUUGUUUCCUUGAGUUGUUUGGGCUAUAUUUUCUGUAUAUGAUUUGGGUAUAUGAAUCUAAAGUUAAUUUGAGAAAAAAAAUCGGAUUAAAGCGAUUUAGGAUAAGAAAACGAGAUCAAAAGUUCGUCAGAAUUUGGCCUGAAGGGAGGCUGGCGCGACGCGCCCCCGUAGUUCCCGAGGGGAUAGCGCAGCACAGCAGCAGUGCGCCAGAUUUGAGCCCCAGCAAGUUGGGGCUGGCGCGACGCUCCCGGAAUACUCCCAAAUCGUCGUUUUUCACCAGUUUUCGUCGUUUAGCCUAUUUAAGUCUUUCUAAAAUGUACUAACACUUUCCAUUGAUUCUUGUCACACCCCUAUUUUUCCUCAAAAUUUAAAUUUAUGUUUUGAAAGAAAAAAGAGUUUUUCCAAUUAAAGUGACAUUUUGAAAACGGAUUAUUUUAUUAUUCAGAGUCGCCACUUAGAAUUGAGUUUUUGGUGUUCCAAGUCACCUUAUUAUUUAAAUCCCUAAUCAAAAGGAAAUUUGACUCUUUAUUUUUAUUGGUCUGCGAACUAGUAAUUCGGGUAAGGAAUUCUGUUGACCAAGGGGAAGGUGUUAGGCACCCCUCGAGUCCCGUGGUUCUAGCACGGUCGCUUUAUUGACUAUAAAUAUGACUUAAAUUAAUUUUUGAAUAUUAUAUUAUUAGCUUAAUAAAAAUGCUAUUUACCCUCAUUCUUUGAUUUAUUUUAAACCUAUUUAAGACUACCUUAUUUUAUUAAUAUAUGUUCAUUAAUUAAAAAUAUGUAUAUCACAUAAAUUUAUUUAAACAUAAUAAUAAAGUAAAGUUAAGAUAUGGAUAUUUACAAAUCUUGAAAUGUCUUGUAAUUUCUUUUCUUCUCCUUUUUUUUUUCAUGUAUUUGUAUUUUUUUUAUUGUGGAUAGAAAAUAUGUAGGUCUCUAAUUGCUAGGAAUUAGAAUUUGUGUAGGAUUGAGAUUUUUUGAGUUUGAGUAUUUUAAGAUUGUAUUUUUUUAGUUAGAUUUAAAAUAGAAAUAAAAUUUUAUGUGAUUUGGAAUUAGUUUUAGCAAGAAAUUCUAAAUAGAUUAGGACUAUUUUUAGGAAGAUUUUUCCUUUUAAUUUUUAUUUUUUAAUUUUUUUUUCUUUGCACGUCUUUUUCCUUACUUUUUUUUUUUUACGUUUUGGUUUUAUUAAUUUAUAUUUAUUUUUUUCAUUCUGUCUCUUCGUAUUUUUUAUUAAUUUUUUUACGUUUUUUUUUUGUUUCUUUCUACUUUCUCCUUUAUUUUUAUAUUUUAAUUCUUUUUGGACAUUUUGUUUCUCUUCUUCUUCUUUUUUUUGUUUUCUUUACUGCUUUGCUAAUCAAUCUUCCUCAUAUUUUUUUACCAUAUAGCCCUAAAUAAUAGUCAUACCUCUUAAUUAUAUACCUUAACAAUUCGAAUUAAAGCGAUAAUCAUCUUACUCUUAUUAUAAAGGUAAAUUAUUUUUAAUAUAUUAAAAAGACUAAAACAUAUUCCACAUAAAAAACUUUUCUGAAUCACUAAUCAAUUAAAUUAAACUAUUAUCUUCUAAUCACAUCGAUUAAUAAUCAAUUUAGAUAAUGAGCAUGCGAUUAAAUAUAUAAAAUUAAUAUAUAAUUAUCACAAACAAAACACACUUAUGUCUUCUUAAAUUACGAAAAAAAUAACAUGAAGCUAAAAACCAAAACAUGGAACAUUGUUCAAGAAAAAAUUGAGAAAUUCAUGGAAUACAUGUUUUUUUUCAUGAUUCUACAAAAAGGAUUAAACAUAUAGUUUACAUGAAAACAAUUCAAAAUAAAAUAAAAUAAUAUAAAUAGGCUAAGGCAAGAACGCACCUUCAAAUUGUUUUUGACUAAACAAUGAAGAAUAACGUAAAAAUCUACAGAUUUCCAAAGUUUAGCAAGGCUAACUUUAAGAUCCACAAACUUGGAACCACGAACAAAACCUCUAACUCUAGACUUAAUUCUCAAAAGAAAAAAUCACGUUUCUUCUCUUUGCUUUUGCUCUAGUUUUUUUUUCUCGUCUGUGUCUGUGUGUAUCCUCUUUUUAAUCUCUUUACUGAGCAUGUUUUUAUAAUAUUUUAGGUGUGAGUCUGGUGCUAACUUAAAGGAACGUGAAAGAGUGGGGAGUUUAGUUUGAAAUCUAGUUGAGAAUUUUAGGGUUGAGAUAAGGGAAUGAAAUAAAAAUAGUAAUAUAAUAUUAACAAAACAAAUAAUAAAUAAUAAUAAAACAAACAAAAAGAAAGAAAGAACGAAGAGAAAAGAAAAGAAAAAAAUAAUAAAUAAAUAAAAAAGAAACGUGUAAAAAAAAUGAGAAAAGAUCGUGCAAGAGGAAAAAAAAAGAAUAAAUAGAAUAAAAAUAAAAUAAAAUAAACUAAAUGGGAGGAGAAUUUUUAGGAAAUAAGUUAAGGAAGUUGGGGGUAAUUAGGAUAAAGGUAAGGUAAUUUACAAUUGUUAGGACUCUUCUUUUUAUCUUCUUUUUUUCUACUUUUUCAUAAGAUAUACGAUUAUUUUUUUAUUUUUUUUAGACUAGUUAAAAGUUAAAGGAUUAAAAUAAAUACAUUAAAUUCACAAGCUUUCUUUAUUAAACUUUAAACAUAAAGUGAGCUUAUAAUCUGUUGUAAUUUUCAGAUUUAUAUUUUCAUUUAUUUUAAAUAUAACCCUACUGAAAUAAUAAUAUUUAAGUAUUAAAAUUGGUGUAAAAUCUUGAUGUUUUGGUCAAAAAUUAGGUGUUCACAGUAUGUCCCUCUUUGCUUGGAAACAUGAAGAGUUUUCAUGCAAAGACGUGAACAAAUUGCUAAUUUUUUGACUGAGACAUUUAUCCAAAAAUGUGAAAAUAAGUAAAAGAGGAUAGGUUUGACUGCGCCCUAACUUUGGACAAACUACCUACCCUGAGUUAAUGAUCGGGUGUAGUUCAUAUAUAGGAAGGGACGGGAGAAUAAGUUAGGUAGUCGAGUGAGGUUCAGUCGAGGUUCCGGUUCGUAGCUCCAGCUGUUACAUUAAAAGGAAAAAAUACAAUAGGAGAGAAAGGAAAGAUACAAGAUCCUAUCUACUCCACUAGUUCUGAGUCUUCGUUUUGAAUCUUCGGUUUUUGCUUCACCCUCUUUAGGUAGGUACACCGAUUCCGAACUUUGAACUUGAUAUUUGAAUUUAAGAUCUGAAACUUAUGAUUUAACUUGAGCCGUUGACGCUCUUCCGCAUGAUAUUCUUGAAUGCUUGUUUUCUUGAGAAGAUGAUUCAGGAUAUGUUGAGCCAUUAUGGGUUGAAAGCGACUCUAAAUGUCAUUGACAUCUAAGAUUCAUUGUUUCUCUAAUCAAAUGAGGUCUUUAUUCUUGAACUUCCAAUUUGUAUACCACGUAGAAACCUGCACGCCAUAAAACAAAACAAAACAAAAAAAAUUGCCCCAGUGUGCACUAGGAAUAUUUUGUGAGUUAUUGAUGAAAGCUAUAAAAGUCUAUACUAAGCAGACAUACAUUUUUAUUUUUAUAUCCAAAAUGCAACCAGGGGUUAUUAUGCCCUGUGAGGACAUGAAAAUAAAUAGGGAUUAUGGUUUCCCGUGAAGACAUGGAAAAAAAUAAAAUAGGGGUUAUUGUGCCCUAUAUGCAACCAGGGGUUAUUGUGCCCUGUGAAGACAUGAAAAAUAAAAUAGGGGUUAUUGUGCCCCAAAUGCAACCAGGGGUUAUUGUGCUAUGUGAAGACAUGCAAAAUAAAAUAGGGUUAUUGUGCCCUAUAUGCAACCAGGGGUUAUUAUGCCCUGUGAAGACCCCCAUAUGCAACCAGGGGUUAUUGUGCCCUGUGAAGACAUGAAAAAUAAAAUAGGGGUUAUUGUGCCCCAAAUGCAACCAGGGGUUAUUGUGCCCUAUAUGCACCCAGGGGUUAUUGUACCCUGUGAAGACAUGAAAACAAAAAUAAGGGUUAUUGUGCCCUAUAUGCAACCAGGGGUUAUUGUGCCCUAUGAAGACAUGAAAAUAAAAAUAGGGGUUAUAUAUAUAUAUAAUAUAUAUAUAUAUAUAUGUAUGUAUGUAUUUAUUUUAUUUUUUUACUUGUAUUAUUAUUAUUAUUUAAGAUUAAUUAUUUUAUUUUAUUUUUAUUUUUGUACAUUUUUCAAACGUAAAAGAAACAAUCAAAAAAAAAAAUGCUCCAGCUUUUAUUAAGAAAAAUAAUCAUUUUUAUUGUUAUUAUUAUUAUUAUUGUGGUGCAUAUUGUAAGAGAGACAGGGAUUCAAGAACUUACCUCGUGGCGUUUGACUCUCACGAAUUACUUGCACGAUUUUUCUUUGUACCUAUUUUGAAACAAAGAAUAUUUUGUUAGUUUUUCUAAAUGGUGGUUGGUUUGUGACUUCGAAUAUCUUGUGGAGUUUGACUUUGAAUCUGUCUUGGUUGAAAGAAUCAUCAUAUUGACGAUUGCGCGAAUAACUUGAAGAUGCUUUAGAGACAGUCCUUAUCUUCCCUUGAAAUACUUCUCAUUAACGUUUUGACCCAUUUCCAUUUUGUGCAUGUUGUGUGGUUCAUCCUUUCCAAAACAACUUUCUUGUUUUACCGAUUUUUCACACGGUAUUGAUUUUUGAUAUAUAUAUUUUUUUGAUUGGUUCACAACCCUAGUCAAUGUUGUGCAUGCCCCCAACAUUCAACUAGAAAUACCGUAGUCAAUUUCGCGACUUUAAUUUGAUUUUCUCACUUGACGCGAGUUUAUGCUGAAUGAGACUCAAAGAAUACCGAACACAAGUACAAAUGACACAAAUGAAAGGGUUAUGAAAGAAAAGUUAUGUCUUUAGAAGGACGAAAUAAGUAAAUGUUUAAAAGGAAUGAAAAGAAUCUGAUCUGAAAGUACGUGACCACUUUAAUGAAUCAUGACAUGCAUUAGGACUGAACGUUUGAUCCUUCUAAGUUGUCCGAAUCUCAUGAAACAGUGUUGUACCUUUCAGUCUAUAGCCUGACUUCUAUCUUGAUUGUGUGCUCAUGCCAAGACGGAAUGUCAUCAUUUGAUCAAUGGUGCCCUUCAUGGUUUUCCACCAAUAAGACAUUCUUAUCUCUUUAUCUGAUCAACUUACUAUCGUCAUAUGGUGCCCGUGAGGGUUUUCACUCAUAAGACUCUCUCAUUUUAUUUUAUUUUAUUUUGUAACACACCGUAGGUCACAAUGUCAUGUCUCAGCCCUUGGAAAAUUGAAGAACAUGAUUAUUGUUUUAUUCAGUGAUUAGACCGAACCCCAAUGAAGGGCUGCCUACAUAUCCUCUUAGGAAUCAGGUCGAACAUAGUUCAAUGAAACUUUUUUUUAGCACUAGACAAGUGGUGUUUGAAAUAAAGGAGGAUACAUUUUUAUCCUCUCAUCUUGAGAAUGUCAAUCACGAGAGUGUCAUAACAAAGAGUGUUAAACGUAGUAUCUUUUGGUCGAAUCUGUGUUAACAAUUGUGUCGAUCGCUUUUCCCUCCAUAUCUGCCAGUUGCAAAGCUCCUUUUGAUAGCACUUGUUUAAUAACAUAAGGGCCUUGCCAAUUUGGGGAAAACUUUCCUUUGGCCUCGUCUUGAUGGGGAAGGAUGAGUUUCACAACAAGUUGACCGACUUCAAAAUUUCUUGGGCGUACCUUCUUGUUAUAAACUCGAGUCAUCCUCUGCUGAUAUAAUUGACCAAAGCAAAUUGAUGUCAACCGUUUUUCGUCUAUCAGUGCUAAUUGUUCUAACCUUGAUUUAACCCAUUCCGUGUCCUCGAUUUCUGCUUCGACAAUGAUUCGAAGAGAAGGGAUUUCAACUUCUGCGGGUAUGAAAACCUCAGUUCCGUAAACCAACAAGUAAGGAGUUGCACCAAUUGACGUACGAAUAGUCAUGCGAUAUCCCAAGAGAGUAAAGGGUAGUUUUUCAUGCCACUGUCUAGAUCCUUGCACCAUUCUCCUAAGAAUCUUCUUGAUGUUUUAUUUGCCGCUUCAACAGCCCCAUUUGCUUUGGGUCGAUAAGGGGUUGAAUGACGAUGAACAAUUUUAAAUUGCUCACAAAUUUCCUUCAUCAGGUGGCUGUUGAGAUUCGCUGCAUUGUCUGUAAUAAUGAUUUUUGGUAUGCCAAAAUGACAUAUGAUGUUGGAAUUAACGAAGUCCACUACUGCUUUCUUGGUAACUGAUUUGAAUGUGACAGCUUCUACCCAUUUGGUAAAGUAGUCGAUGGCAACUAAAAUAAACCGAUGCCCGUUAGAUGCUUUCGGCUCAAUCAGCCCAAUAAUGUCCAUUCCCCAAGCAACAAAAGGCCACGGAACAGACAUAGGGCGCAACUCUAAAGGGGGUGAGUGAAUCAAGUCGCUAUGAAUCUGGCAGUUAUGGCACCUGCAAACAAAUCAGAAGCAUUCUCGCUCCAUGGUCAACCAAUAGUACCCUGCCCAGAUAAUCUUUUUUGCUAGAACAUAAUCAUUCAUGUGAGGACCACAUACCCCUGAAUGCACCUCAUUCAUAAUUGUUUCUGCUUCUUGAAUAUUCACACAUCGCAAUAGAUUCAAAACUGGAGUUCUUUUAUAUAAGAUCUCGCCACUCAAAAGAACCCAUGGGCGAGUCGCCUAAUAGUUCUUUUUUUUAUCUCUAUCCGCAUGUAUUGGAUAUUCUUUAGCUUUUAGAAACCGCUUGAUAUCGUGAUACCAGGGCUCACUGUCUGGCUCUACUUCAAUUAUAUUGCAAUAACCAUGUUGGUCCCUAACUUGGAUUUCCAACGGGUCAAUGUAGGUAUUACCUGGGUAUGGAAGCAUCGAGGCUAGGGUGGCCAAAGCAUCAGCCAACUCAUUGUGAAACCUGGGAAUGUAUCUGAAUUCAAUGGACUUGAACCUUUUGAUAAGGUUUUCUAAACAUUGUUUGUACGACAUGGGUUUAAUGUCUCGAGUCUCUCAUUCGCCUCGAGUUUGUCGAAUGAGCAAAUCGAAAUCCCCCAAAACCACCAACUCAUGCACAUCCAGAUUUAUUGCCAUAUUCAAACCUAUGAUGCAAGCUUCGUAUUCUGUUGUGUUGUUGGUAGAAAAGAAUUGAAGUCGCGUUGUGGCAGGAUAAUGACAUUCGUUUUGUGAGAUAAGAACUGCCCCAAUUCCUACUCCAUUUUUGUUGACAGCCCCAUCAAAAUAUAAUUUCCACACGUGACCAUCAUUAAGAAUUUCUUCCUCAAUAGAGUUGAUCUCUUCAUCAGGGAAGUAUGUCCUUAGGGGCUCGUAUUCGUCAUCGACCGUAUUCUCUGCCAAAUGAUCGGCCAACACUUGUGCUUUCAUGGCGGUGCGAGUGACAUACACAAUAUCAAAUUCCGUAAGCAAAAUCUGCCAUUUUGCCAACCUACCUGUUGGCAUUAAUUUUUGAAAAAUAUAUUUCAAAGGAUCCAUUCGAGAUAUAAGAUAGGUCGUGUAGGACAAAAGAUAGUGUUUCAAUUUUUGGGCAACCCAAGUCAAAGCGCAACAAGUCUUUUCUAACAGAGUGUACUUUGCCUCAUAGCUUGUGAACUUUUUGGUCAAAUAAUAAAUGGCUUGUUCUUUUUUUCCCGUAUUGUCAUGUUGUCCUAAAACGCAACCAAAUGAAUUAUCCAUCACUGAAAGAUAUAAAAAUAACGGCCUACCAGGUUCUGGUGGGACCAGUACCGGAGGGUUUGCUAGAUAUUCCUUAAUUUUGUCAAAAGCCUUUUGACACUCACUUGUCCAUUUGAUAGCAGCAUCCUUUUUCAACAACUUGAAUAUCGGCUCACAUGUGGCGGUGAGUUGAGCAAUGAACCUACUGAUAUAGUUUAACCUACCCAGAAAACUCAUGACUUCAGUUUUGGUUUUUGGAGGUGGCAAUUCUCGAAUGGACUUUAUCUUAGAGAGGUCUAAUUUAAUGCCUCUUUGACCAACUAUAAAACCCAAAAGUUUGCCAGAUGGAACUCCAAAUGCACAUUUAGCUGGAUUAAGCUUGAGGUUGUACUUUCUCAAUCUUUCAAAGAAUUUUCUUAGAUCACGUACAUGGUCGGCUUGUGUUCUAGAUUUAAUGAUGACAUCAUCGACAUAUACCUCAACUUCUUUAUGCAUCAUGUCAUGGAAUAUGGUAGUCAUAGCUCUCAUGUAGGUUGCUCUUGCAUUCUUCAGACCAAAUGGCAUGACUCUAUAACAAUAUGUACCCCAUGGGGUGGUGAAAGUAGUUUUUUCUGCAUCUUUUUCACCCAUGAGAAUUUGGUGAUAUCCGGCGUAACAGUCCACAAAAGAUUGAAUCUCGUGUUUGGCACAAUUAUCAACCAAGAUGUGAAUGUUAGGUGAUGGAAAAUUGUCAUUUGGACUUGCUUUGUUUAGAUCUUUGUAAUCAACACUAACUCUGAUCUUUCCAUAUUUCUUUGGCACUAGCACAACAUUAGCUAACCAGGUAGUGUAUUGGACAACUCUAAUCACAUUUGCACUCAGUUGCUUCAUGAUUUCCUCUUUAAUUUCAUCACUCGUGUCUGUCUUAAACUUUCUCUGCUUUUGCUGGACAGGUGGAAAAUCAAGAUGUAUUGGAAGUUUGUGAACUACUAAAUCAACACUUAAACCCGGCAUGUCGUCGUAGGACCAAGUGAAGACAUCGUUGUAUUCAAAUAAAACUUGAAUUAUGUCGUCUCGAAUGUUCUGAUCAACAUGAAUACUUAUCUUUAUUUCUCUCACUUCUUCAGGAGUUCCUAAAUUAACUGCCUCAGUUUCACUUAAAUUAGGUUUAGGCUUAUUUUCAAAUUGAUCCAAUCCUUUUUUUUAUUUCUUCGUAAGCUUCAUCUUCAUCAUAUUCGUCAGACUUAGGAUUCAUUGUUUCGAGAUCAGACAACUUUUUUAGGAUCUAACUGUAAACUCCGCAUGCAUGUCAUAUUAUUAAAGUCGACAUUAACGUAACUGAAAUGAAAAAUAAGGGGACAUAUAUUAGAAAGAGUAAGAAUAGAGAAGAUGAUUGAAUAUGAUUGUAAAACUAGAACUUCAUUGCAUUAAAUGGGAAAUGAUAGAAGGGUUAACACCUAAGUGAGACAACUAGAAGGUUUGAAUUACAACCCUGAGAAUAAUCCAAAUAAAUAAAUUAAAAGCAGCAAAAUACACUACCAAGACUCCUUCCUUGUAGGGAGAUGUCACGACCCAAGCCUAGGGCCUAGACGUGACCNNNNNNNNNNNNNNNNNNNNNNNNNNNNNNNNNNNNNNNNNNNNNNNNNNNNNNNNNNNNNNNNNNNNNNNNNNNNNNNNNNNNNNNNNNNNNNNNNNNNGCACAUUUUCGGGCAUUUUUGGGGUCGUUUCAGGAGAUGAGUGGCUUCCCAAUUGUUGAGCUGGACAUUCGGGCCGACGAACUGCACAUCCAUAUGACUAGUGCUUUCACCCAUCUGAGUCAUGUUUAUAUCAUAAAACAUUUCCUUGAUACCUUGACACAUUUCAUCCAUAUCAUUCUGGAGAGGGAAGUCUGGACUCGGUUCACCUCAAAAUUUAACGAAAGAUUGAGCAAUAUGAGGGAUUGGCUUUAACAAAUUCCAAACAUUUCUUUUACGAUAUUUUGCCCAUUUUCUAUCAAAUCUAGUUGGAUUGAAACCCAAACCGAAUGUCUCUUGAUUACCCAUUGGAUUGAUGGGAUCUACAAUUCCUUGCAAAGACAGCCCUAGUCCCUUUCCAGGUUCAUAGCCGUUCUGUACCAUCUGGGACACCACCAUGAAUGGAGCAGAUGAUAGAUGAGGUUGUGGUAUAGGCUUUCCUUCCGAAAACUGAUUGACUGUUAUAAUAUCAAAAGCCUGAUAGUUGAGGGAUUCACAACCUCUUUUGGCCUCAAUGCAUGGUAUUGAAGGAUCUCGGGUGAUUGGGAGGUCAUCUUCAACAUGGACAAUGAUUUCUAGUUUAUCAUGCUCAAACUUGACCACUUGGUGCAGAGUAGACGGCACAGCUCUAGCCAGGUGGAUCCAUGGCCUACCCAAAAGUAGAUUGUAAGAAGUGUCCAUGUCUAUUACUUGGAAAGUGAUUCCGAACUCCACUGGUCCAAUUGUAACAGUUAAGUAUAUUUCACCAAGAGUGUCCCGUUUUGCGCCAUCAAAUGCACGCACACAGACAUUGUUAGUACGAAUUCUAUCCGUGUUGAUUUUCAACCUUUGUAGAGUAGAAAGAGGGCAUAUAUCUACACCCGAUCCUCCAUCGACCAUGACUCUCUUCACAUAGUGUUCUUCACAUUUCACGGUUAAAUGUAACGCCUUAUUAUGCCAGAUCAUUCCAAAGGCAAUUCAUCAUCAGUGAAAGUGAUUCUAUUUACCUCAAAUAUUCGGUAGGCCAUCCUUUCCAAGUGACCCACCGUGAUACUUUCUGAGAUAUGUGCCUCAUUCAAGAUUCUGGUCAAAACUUCACGAUGCUCUUUAGAAUGUAUGAGUAAUGACAACAAGGAUAUAUGAGCGGGUGUUUUCCUCAACUGAUCAAUAACAGAAUAAUCUUGAGCUUUUAUCUUUUUCAGGAACUCUUCAGCCUCCUCCUCAGUGACAGGUUUUUUAACCGGCAACUUAUUUUCUUCGGCUUGUUUGUCUUUCCUUAAUUCUUCUAGAGCAUAACACCUCCCAGAACGAGUUAAUCAUCUUGUUUCAUUUGUUUCUUCAACAAUCUCCUUUCCUUUGUGGGUAACAACGACUUUGUUGUAGUUACAUGGAAUGGUCUUGGUGUUUGUCAUCGGAAGUUGUGUUGCAAUUUGUAUCACAACUGGCUCUUUCACACUUUUUUUAUUUUGACCAAAUGUUCGAAGUUUACCAGGAAUGUAUAAUUUUGGUCCAUUCAACGAUACUUCUCUUCUUUUUACAGCUCCAGGGACAUACAACACUAGUUUUCUCAAGUCUCCAAAAUUUGAACUUGCACCAUUCAAAAUUAUCGGUGCCUUUUGUAUGGGUUCUAAAACCAUACUAAACUCUUCUUUUGAAUCCCUACUUUCCAUUUUCGUUCUACAUGUUUGCUCAUAAUCUUCAUAAAUGUCUACCAUCCCCACAACAUGCUCAUUAUUGUGAGCAAGGAGUGGGUUAUUGGUGACAUUUGGCGCCUCCUCAUUGCGUAUCUCAAUUACCUUAUCCUCAAUUAACUUCUCAAUGACUCUUUUUAGAGUCCAACAAUUCUUUGUGCUAUGACCUGGAGUGUUAGCGUGAUACUCACAUAUAACAGUUAGAUCAAAGCCUCUUGCAUUCGGAUUGACAAAAUAGGGAUUGACAACUUCAACCAAUAUAAAUUGUACUAAUUUCCGCAACAAGCUCGUAUAUGACUCUCCAAUUGGGGUAAAGUUUUCUUUUCGACCUUGUUCUCUUAUAUAAUCCAUCCGAGGACGUGGAUUAUGGGGUGCCUAAAAAUUUUGUUGUUAGGGGCGAGAACCAUGUGGGGCAGGUGCCCGCCAUUGUUGGUGCUGAGGAGGUCGGACCUAUGCUUGAGUGUUGAGAACUGCAUAUUGGGAUGGGUAAUAAUGUUGAGGAGAAUUAGAUUGUUCUUGUUGGACUUGAACAUAAGGGUGGUUCAUGCCCAUUUGAACACCUCUCGAUCCAGACGUCAUCAUGGACCCAUCCUCCUUCUUUUUUCGAUUUACAAAAUUACCUGACCCGCUCUGUAUUGCUUGCGUGGUAGCUCUAAUGGCUGUCUGGCUUACAAUUUUACCCGAUUUUAUGCCGUUCUCUACCAUUUCUCCGAUCUUAAUUGCUUCGGCGAGGACCCAUCCUCCUUCUUUUUUCGAUUUACAAAAUUACCUGACCCGCUCUGUAUUGCUUGCGUGGUAGCUCUAAUGGCUGUCUGGCUUACAAUUUUACCCGAUUUUAUGCCGUUCUCUACCAUUUCUCCGAUCUUAAUUGCUUCGGCGAAAGGCUUUCCCAUUGCAGCGAGAAGGUAAUGAAAGUAGUCAGGUUCUUGAGCCUGGAGAAAAACAUCAAUCAAUUCAUAGUCCUUCAUCGGCGGUUUGACUCUAGCCGCCUGCUCCCUACAUCUUAUGGCAUAUUCCCUAAAGCUUUCAGAUGGUUUUUUCUUCAUAUUAGCUAGGGAAUUGCGAUCCGGAACGAUAUCGAUAUUAUAUUGGAAUUGUUGGACAAAAUCUUGCGCCAUGUCAUCCCAGACAUGCCAUCGAGAAAUAUCUUGAUCGAUAAACCAUUCUGAGGCUACAGCCGUUAGACUUUCUCCAAAGUAAGCCAUAAGAAGUUCUUCUUUUCCUCCGGCUCCUCUUAGCUGAUUACAAAAUCUUUUCAAAUGAGCCACUGGGUUGCCAUGACCAUUAUACUUGUCAAACUUUGGAGUUUUGAACCCUAUAGGCAAGUGAACAUCUAGAAACAUGCAUAAGUCCUUGAUUGAGACACUUUUGUGUCCUCCCAACCCUUGCAUAUUCCUUAUGUUUUGCUCCAAACUCCUAUUUUUCUUGCAAUUUCUUCAUGUUCCUCGUCCUUAGUGGUUUUUUCAACCUCGACGGGUGAACUGUAUUGAUGAGUGUGGUGGUAAGAGUCAGGAAUUUUGAAAGUCAAUUUAGGGGCCUGACCUUGGCCGUAUUGAUCUUUGGGUAUAGGAUCAUCAUUAGAUUUUUGUACUAGUGUUGGUUGAGGAAUUGCAUUAGUUUCCACAGUUGGCAUGAAGAGUGGAUUGUUCAUCAUAGGUGGAUUGAACGGGUGUACCGAGGAAGUUCCAACAGUAUUAUAUAUGUUAACGUAGGGUCCAAAUCCAGGUGGAUAAACCGGGUCUCUUGUUGAGACUUGAAUGGGGAAUGACAUAUUCACAUUUAGGUAUUCCCGAAUUGAAGAUGGGGGAGCCUGCCCAUUCAUCCAAGCUUCAUACAUUUCGGUCAUCUGUUGUCUCAACAUUUUGAUCUCUUCUACAUAUACUGAUUCUUGUGCAACCAUUUGAUUUUGCACUUCGUCAUUUCCCGACUCUGUUUCAUCUUUUCGUGUCAUCUUUGCUUUCCCUUUUGAUCUCGUGUUAUAUUGAUGAAAUGCCAGCUCUCUUCACAAACCAACCACCUUUAAACUCUUUCUCUCUUAUAUAUAAAAACAACUAUGUUAGGAUUCAGCACUUUGCAAAUAUUAAUCACACGUUUUAUGUUAUGCACCUAAAUUAUUCUUAUUUCUACAAUGAGUUUUGGAAGACUUUUAUGUUUCAUCCCGGCUUUGGACGACUUGCUUAUGUCUUUUAGUCCUAUACUUUACUCAUCUGAAUAUUUUGAACGCAUUUUGAUCGAACAUGUUUAAGGUUGCCUACGUAUCAUGUUGAACAUGAAUCAGAUCAUUACGUAGUUCGUGAAGGAGAGUUAUUUAAAAAAGAAAACACGACAUUUAUUUAACUUAACAUGAAGACAUUAUUCAAAUCAAAAUGUUCUUAAAAUAAAUGACCAAAACAUCAAAGUACUUAAGGAUUGAAACAAACUUCGAUCAAAUGAAAAUAAAAGAAAUAAUAAAAAAUUCUUCUCCAAUAUUUCUUGAUCAUCAAUUGCCCCCUAGGCUAGAGUAGACCUUGGACAAAGCUUUUGGCAAAUGUGGGGCCAGUGCACGCGCAUGUCGACCCAGGCUCUUAUCACUCCGAUGUAGAUAACCACCAUAAACAUCAAUCAAGCUCUCUGUCAGUUGAAGCACUUGUCCUUUGGCCUCCUCCAUAUUCUCGUGACAAUUCUGCAACCAUUCUUAAGUAGUACCAACCAUGUGGGUCAAAUCCUCUUCAUGUGCCUGAAGAUCUUCGAUUUGAUUAUGAAGUUCUUCACGCUCCCCCAUCCAUUGGUUUCUCUCGAUCGUGACUUCUGCUUUAUACGAUGUGAAACGCUUUGCUAUGUCUGUUUCUCGUCCCAUCGAAGCUUUUAAUUGAUUUUGUAGUCUAGCAUGUGUGUGCAUUAAGAGGGUCUUUUCUUUUUUAUACUCUUCCUCUUAUUGCUCCAUAGCGCAUGUGACAAUGCCCAAAUCCUCAUGUAAGGUUCGAAUGGUGGAUUGAUGUUCCUUUUCAGCCCUUUUCUGAAUCAACCUAACUCUCUCUUUGAAUAUUGCAUCACGUUGAACCAACUCUUCUCUAGCAUUCUUUAGGUCAUUACUGAGGAUAUCCAUAGUAGACCUGUAAUUUUUUUCCACCUCGAGCCGAGCUUGCUUGAUUCUGACAUCAAUUUCCUCUUCUUGAUCUCUGAGUUCUCGCGCUGAUCCUUCGGGCAUUACUUUGAGGGGGGCUUGAUUAAAGAACCAAUGGAGGUAUGAGGGGUCUACUUCUCCUUCAACACGAUCGUCUACCAUAGCUUUCGAGCAUAAAGUUCGACUACCACCCCAAAUCUUUUGAGCUUCUGAUUCUCGAUCUUCAAACGACACCUCCCAUACGAAACUCUGUGUAUCCUCGGCCCUAGGUGAGAUUUGUGUUUGUCCUAGUUGGCGUAGCACCCGAAGGGGUAUGUAUGGUUGGAAUCCUCGAAGCCCUGUCAGAACAAAGAAUGGACGAUAGGAAGACAUAACAAUUACAUUACUCGCAGGGAACCAAUGAUAGUUCCAUGUAAUAUCAGAUGUAGUUAAUUUAAGAAGAUAAUGUCUCCACGCUUUGACACCUUUUGGCAAUUUUUCUACUAAUUCCUUCAUCCUGUCUGGGUGGCUCAAAAUAUAAUUCGACCAUUCAGAUUUGAAAUCUGUCGCAAAACGAUGGCGAUACAAGUGUUCCAAAAACCACAUUUGCAAUAGAAUGCUACAACCUUCAAAAAAGUCUUCCCCUUCCCUACAUUUAGUCAAAGCACGAUAAAUGUCGGCUAACAUCAUUGGCAAGAUAGUGUAUUUCUUUUUCUUCAUCAUAACAGCGACUAUUCCCGACAGACGAAUAUUGAUUUUUUUAUCUCUCCUUGGAAAAACCAUGGUUCCCAAAAAGGCCACCAUGAAUGCUUCUUGUCUAUGCUUUUCCCAGGUAGGGAGGUGUUGCCCAUUUUUUAAGUUUGCUUCCCGUAGUCUGAAAAUCCUUCUUUCUUUCCAUAUCUUGAGUAUAGAAAUUCCAAGGAAACCAACACAUUAUCGAAAACACUCCUUAAUGAGGAUGGAUGAUGUGCAUUUGUUCUAAAAAUUUGUUCCCGCUGAUGCUUCUUGGGGCUAUGAGUGUUUUGUUUCGGAGAUCCUUGCUUAACCCUGUGAAACCACCCAAUUCCUCCAAUGUAGGCGUCAACUCAAAAUCGUUAAAGCGAAACACAUUGCUUGUAGAAUCCCAAAACGGGAUCAAAGCCUCGAUCAAAUCUCUGUCAGGACUAAAUCUCAUGAUAUCUGUGAGGAAACCAAGAUGUUUGAAUAUCUUAGUUCACCUAAACUCAUGCAUAUCGUUCCACUAAGCCAUGAGUAGUGGUGGGGUUUUAUCCGUGAUCAUGAACUUUGGGGGAUCAUUGACCAUUUCGACUGCCUCAUCCCUUGAUCUUUUAUCACAUCUCAUAGAUCUCAUGAUUACCUAGUUAGGAAAAGAAACUCACGAUUUAAAACCAAAUUUAACUUAUGAAAUUUUGAUCAUUCGAAAUCAUUUGUCGGAGUAGUUAAAAGAAAAAUAAAUAAAUAUGAAAAAUGACUCAAAAUGCCUAAAGUGGUCAUUCUUUUGAAAACGACUUUUGUUGACCUUCCUUAGGGGAAGCUUAGGUUGUUUUCGGAGAGAAUAACUGGAUAAAGAGAUAAUGUUGACAAGUGAAUCAUGAAGAAGAGAAAGAAAAAGAAAUAAAAAGAAGGUGGACAUGCACUAUUUGAAACAAAUUUGAAGACAUAUAUAUAUAUAUAUAUAUAUAAUAAUUUUAUUUUUUUAUGUGUACAUGCACUAUUAUUAUUAUUUUUGUUUUUUUGUUUGUAAAAACUUGAUGUUUUGAUAAAAGCGAGAAUACAAUUGAGGGUUAUAUAUAUAUUAUUUUCAAUUUGUUUAUCUUGAAUCAUUUGCUGAAAGUGGGUAAAAAUAGACAUUUUUUCUUUUAGUUAAUUAUCUAAAGUCGGUCAACAUUUGUUAUAGUCUUUCACAUUAUGCAAUAAGUAGCACAAAAAUAUACAUGAUGGUCUCAAGAAAAGGUACCUGUCCUAGACAAACCCGGGCCCCAUGCCGAGUUUUGCUAAGUUAAAUGCACAUGAUGUAGAUAAAGCGGAACUUAGUAAUGAUAUCAUGUCUGAAGAUUUCAGUUCUACUAAGGUUGAACUUGUGGAGAAAGGUAUCUAGACUGGCCGUAAAAUGAGCGGACAACUUGAGUUAGGGAGUAGUAACGUAUCGGUAGUAGCGCUUUCCGACUUUGUGCAUGGGUGCUCCCCAUUAUAAACAUCAUGGAUCGAAGAUCCACUGGCUAUCUUGACAGAAGUAGGGUGUGCAGUCGCAAUUCCCAUAAUGAUAUUACAGAAGACUCAGAGUGGUGCGCGAGAGAAGACAGUUAUAAUGCAAUUCAAAUAAUAUUAAAAUAGUAAAAAAAAAGUAAACAAUUAGCACAUUAAGCCAACAAAUACAAUAUCCAAAACAUAAAUGAAGAAAUAAAUAAAUAAAGUCAUACAUAAGUCAAUAUUUACAAGCUCGAAUUCUGGUUAUCCCCAGCGGAGUCGCCAUCUGUCACACCCUUAUUUUUCCUCAAAAUUUAAAUUUAUGUUUUGAAAGAAAAAAGAAAUUUUCCAAUUAAAGUGACAUUUUGAAAAGGGAUUAUUUUAUUAUUCAGAGUCGCCACUUAGAAUUGAGUUUUGGUGUUCCAAGUCACCUUAUUAUUUAAAUCCUAAUCAAAAGGAAAUUUGACUCUUUAUUUUUAUAGAUCUGCGAACUAGAAAUUCAGGUAAGAAAUUAUGUUGACCAAUGAGAAGGUAUUAGGCACCCCUCGAGUCCCGUGAUUCUAGAAGGGUCGCUUUAUUGACUAUAUAUAUGACUUAAAUUAAUUUUUGAAUAUUAUAUUAUUAGCUUAAUAAAAAUGUUAUUUACCCUCAUUCUUUGAUUUAUUUUAAACCUAUUUCAGAUUACUUUAUUUUAUUAAUAUAUGUUCAUUAAUUAAAAAUAUGUAUAUCACAUAAAUUUAUUUAAAUAUAAUAAUAAUAUAGUAAAGUUCAGAUAUGCAUAUUUACAAAUCUUGAAAUGUCUUAUAAUUUCUUUUCUUCUCCUUUUUUUCCAUGUAUUUGUAUUUUUUUUUAUUGUGGAUAGAAGAUAUUUAGGUAUCUAAUUGCUAGAAAUUAGAAUUUAUGUAGAAUUGAGAUUUUUUGAGUUUGAGUAUUUUAGGAUUGUGUUUUUUUUUUUAGUUAAAUUUAAAAUAUAAAUAAAAUUUUAUGUGAUUUGGAUUAGUUUUAGCAAGAAAUUGUAAAUAGGACUAUUUUUAGGAAGAUUUUUCCUUUUUUUUUUUUAUUUUUUUUUAUUUUUUUUAUUUUUUUUUUUUUCUUUGCAGGUCUUUUUCCUUACUUAUUUUUUUCUUUUUUACGUUUCAGUUUUAUUAAUUUAUUUAUUUUUCAUUCUGUCUCUUCGUAUUUUUUAUUUUAUUUUUUACGUUUUUUUUUGUUUCUUUCUAAUCUAUCCUUUAUUUUUAUAUUUUAAUUCUUUUUGGACAUUCUGUUUCUCUUCUUCUUCUUUUUUUUUUUCUUUCUUUUCUUUACUGCUUUGCUAAUCAAUCUUUCUCAUUUUUUUUUAUUUUUUUUACCAUAUAGCCCUAAAUAAUAGUCAUACCUCUUAAUUAUAUACCUUAACAAUUCGAAUUAAAGCGAUAAUCAUCUUACUCUUAUUAUAAAGGUAAAUUAUUUUUAAUAUAUUAAAAAGACUAAAACAUAUUCCACAAAAAAAACUUUUAUGAAUCACUAAUCAAUUAAAUUAAACUAUUAUCUUCUAAUCACAUCAAUUAAUAAUCAAUUUAAAUAAUGAGCAUGCGAUUAAAUAUAUGAAAUUAAUAUCUAAUUAUCACAAACAAAACACACUUAUGUCUUCUUAAAUUACGGCAAAAAUAACAUGAAUCUAAAAACAAAAACAUGAAAUAUUGUUCAAGAAAAAAUUGAGAAAUUCAUGGGAUACAUGUUUUUUUUUUUCAUGAUUCUACAAAAAAGGAUUAAACAUAUAGUUUACAUGAAAACAAUUCAAAAUAAAAUAAAAUAAUAUAAAUAGGCUAAGGCAAGAACGCACCUUCAAAUUGUUUUUGACUAAAUAAUGAAGAAUAACGUAAAAAUCUACAGAUUUCCAAAGUUUAGCAAGGCUAACUUUAAGAUGCACAAACUUGGAACCACGAACAAAACCUCUAACUCUAGACUUAAUUCUCAAAAGAAAAACUCACUUUUCUUCUCUUUGCUUUUGCUCUAGUUUUUUUUCUCGUCUGUGUCUGUGUGUAUCCUCUUUUUAAUCUCUUUACUAAGCAUGUUUUUUAUAAUAUUUUAGGUGUGAGUCUGGUGCUAACUUAAAGAAACGUGAAAGAGUUGGGAGUUUAGUUUGAAAUCUAGUUGAAAAUUUUAGGGUUGAGAUAAGGGAAUGAAAUAAAAAAUAGUAAUAUAAUAUUAACAAAACAAAUAAUAAAUAAUAAUAAUAAAACAAAUAAAAAGAAAGAAAGAACAAAGAGAAAAGAAAGAAAAGAAAAAGAAAAAAAAAGAAACGUGUAAAAAAAAAGAGAAAAGAUCGUGCAAGAGGAAAAAAAAGAAUAAAUAGAAUUAAAAUAAAAUAAACUAAAUGGAAGGAGGAUUUUUAGGAAAUAAGUUAAGGAAGUUGGGGGGAAUUAGGAUAAAGGUAAGGUAAUUUACAAUUGUUAGGAGUCUUCUUUUUAUCUUUUUUUUUUCUACUUUUUCAUAAGAUAUACGAUUUUUUUUUAUUUUUUUUAGACUAGUUAAAAGUUAAAGGAUUAAAACAAAUACAUUAAAUUCACAAGCUUUCUUUAUUAAAUUCUAAACAUAAACUGAUCUUAUAAUCUGUUGUAAUUUUCAGAUUUAUAUUUUCAUUUAUUUUAAAUAUAACCUUACUGAAAUAAUAAUAUUUAAGUAUUAAAAUUUGUGUAAAAUCUUGAUGUUUUGGUCAAAAACUAGGUGUUCACAAUUCUAACUACUCUAAAUGAUUUCUAAACAUCUAGAAAUCAUCCAGAAACAUGAAUCAUAACCUUGAAUCUAUAAAUUCAAAUUCAGGGAAAGUCAAGAACCAAGUCUAGGAAGUUCUUAGAGUCUUUUCAAGAAGUCUUUUGCAAAUGCUUUUAACUUUGUUUUAAGACAUAAAGUUCAAGUUGAGUAAAGAGUAAAGAUUAAAGCUUGAAGUUCGUUUCUUCAAAAGUAUACGGGGACUAUGUAUUCCCAAAGAGUUUAAAAUGUUUUCACAUUUAAACAAGAAAGGAAACCUCGAUUUCCAAAGAGCCUUCGGGCUAGUUUUCANNNNNNNNNNNNNNNNNNNNNNNNNNNNNNNNNNNNNNNNNNNNNNNNNNNNNNNNNNNNNNNNNNNNNNNNNNNNNNNNNNNNNNNNNNNNNNNNNNNNNNNNNNNNNNNNNNNNNNNNNNNNNNNNNNNNNNNNNNNNNNNNNNNNNNNNNNNNNNNNNNNNNNNNNNNNNNNNNNNNNNNNNNNNNNNNNNNNNNNNNNNNNNNNNNNNNNNNNNNNNNNNNNNNNNNNNNNNNNNNNNNNNNNNNNNNNNNNNNNNNNNNNNNNNNNNNNNNNNNNNNNNNNNNNNNNNNNNNNNNNNNNNNNNNNNNNNNNNNNNNNNNNNNNNNNNNNNNNNNNNNNNNNNNNNNNNNNNNNNNNAUAUAUGAUGGUCCUUGGCAGCGUGAGGUAAAGUGAUGUAUCAUCACUAUAACUCUUAAGUGAUUGUUGUCGGUUAGAGAAACUCCCACAACAGUAUUUUGUAUUUUUAUAUACAUCAGUUUAUUUGUAUUUUUACAUACAUCUCAGAGUUAUAUGUAUCUUUGAAUACACAAAGAGUUGACAUCAUGUUUUAAACAUUUUUUCUUUAUAUUGCACUUGUUUUUAAACUCCUUUAUAUAGAAAUGAAUUCAGUUAUGUGGAGUUGAGUUGAGCCAGGUAAGUUCUUCAGUUCCUUUCAGAUUCUAUUCAAGCCUAUGUUGUAUUUAGCAUUCCAACUCGCAUACUCGUACAUUCAAUGCACUGAUGCUAGUUGGCCAGCAUCUUAUAAUGAUGCAGACACAGGUAACCAGGAUCAGCAUCCAGCGCAUCGUUGAUCCAGUUGAGUGAAACGACCCCAAAAAUGCCCGAAAAUAUACUUCGGAAACACCUAUAAUUGUAAUUUCCAUAUUUCUCAAAAUCCGUGCAUGAUUUCGGAAAUUCGACUUCAUAUUCUUAUUCAGGGGGUCAAAUUGAGUGGGAAAUGGGUCUAACCCGAAUUUUAGAGCAAUCGUAUCAAAAUUCGAAAAUCGCAAAAAAAUGUGAUUUGGAGGGUCAACUUUGAAGGGGCAUAUCUCUUAGCACACAAGAAGUUGGAAGGACCACAACCUAUUAAAUUAUAUCUCUUUGAGUUAGCUUUCCAACGCACUUGGUUUCACCUCAUUCCGAGUUAGGAUGAGGGAGUUAUGACCAUUUUCGUAAAUGUCCCAGAGAGUUUUCUUUUUAGCGGGUUGGGGACGUUUUUUAUAAAUGGGGGAUAUGUCCCAUACUUAGUCAUAUUUUUUUUACUUCAAAACACUCUCUAAGCCCUAUCCAAAAUUUCACCAAGAUCUUCAACCAAAAUCAAACAUCUCAAGCUCUAAUUCCGGAUUCAAGACUCAAUCUCAAACUUCAAUUCUCCAUUCCAAUCUUCAUCAAGGAUUCUCCAAAGUUGAGGUAUGUGGGUUGAUUGUGGAAACCUUCCUGUCCACAAGUCCAACCAUUUAUCCUCUAUUUCUACUUCAAGUUUAUNNNNNNNNNNNNNNNNNNNNNNNNNNNNNNNNNNNNNNNNNNNNNNNNNNNNNNNNNNNNNNNNNNNNNNNNNNNNNNNNNNNNNNNNNNNNNNNNNNNNNNNNNNNNNNNNNNNNNNNNNNNNNNNNNNNNNNNNNNNNNNNNNNNNNNNNNNNNNNNNNNNNNNNNNNNNNNNNNNNNNNNNNNNNNNNNNNNNNNNNNNNNNNNNNNNNNNNNNNNNNNNNNNNNNNNNNNNNNNNNNNNNNNNNNNNNNNNNNNNNNNNNNNNNNNNNNNNNNNNNNNNNNNNNNNNNNNNNNNNNNNNNNNNNNNNNNNNNNNNNNNNNNNNNNNNNNNNNNNNNNNNNNNNNNNNNNNNNNNNNNNNNNNNNNNNNNNNNNNNNNNNNNNNNNNNNNNNNNNNNNNNNNNNNNNNNNNNNNNNNNNNNNNNNNNNNNNNNNNNNNNNNNNNNNNNNNNNNNNNNNNNNNNNNNNNNNNNNNNNNNNNNNNNNNNNNNNNNNNNNNNNNNNNNNNNNNNNNNNNNNNNNNNNNNNNNNNNNNNNNNNNNNNNNNNNNNNNNNNNNNNNNNNNNNNNNNNNNNNNNNNNNNNNNNNNNNNNNNNNNNNNNNNNNNNNNNNNNNNNNNNNNNNNNNNNNNNNNNNNNNNNNNNNNNNNNNNNNNNNNNNNNNNNNNNNNNNNNNNNNNNNNNNNNNNNNNNNNNNNNNNNNNNNNNNNNNNNNNNNNNNNNNNNNNNNNNNNNNNNNNNNNNNNNNNNNNNNNNNNNNNNNNNNNNNNNNNNNNNNNNNNNNNNNNNNNNNNNNNNNNNNNNNNNNNNNNNNNNNNNNNNNNNNNNNAGAUUCUUUUCAAGCUUAAGUUGUGUUUAGCAUUCCUACUCGCAUACUCGUACAUUCAAUGUACUGAUGCCAGUUGGUCUGCAUCGUCUUAUGAUGCAAAAGCAGGUAACCAGGAUCAGCAUCCAGCGCAUCGUUGAUCCAGUUGAACUUCAUAGUUGUUGGUGAGCCUCAUUGCAUUCCAGAGGAUCCCCCUUUUUCAUUACUUUAUCAUUUUAGUUCAUUAGGAUGUCGUGGGCCUGUCCCGACAUCCAUCUCAGUUAUUUUAGAGGCUUCAUAGAUAGUCAGUUAGAUGUUAGUUCAUUCGUCAUCAUUUUGUUAUUGGCUUAUGUUCAGAUUUGAGUAGCCAUUUUGGCUAAGUUAAAUAUUUAUUUUUAAAACAUUAUGAGUUCAGUUUGAGACAUGUUGAGUUAUCUUGUAUUUGGAUUUUCUUUCUUAUGUUUAAGUCUUCCGCUGAGUAAGUAAGUCAGGUCAAGGGUUCGCUUGGGGCCAACAAUGGUUCUCGAGUGCCAGUCUCGCCCAGGGUGUAGGCUCGGGGCGUGUCAUUUGUUUAUUAUUAUUGUCUUUCUCACAACUUUUCAUCACUGUUAACUCAUGAAAAUAGUAAGAAAAAUUACAAGUGUGAAUUGAAUGAUUUGCUAUAAUUUGUUCACCAACUCUUUCUUAUGUGAUACCUCGAAUUUCAUUGAAUUUUUAACUUAAUUAAUUGUUGCAAAUAACCCUUGAGGUUUUUUAAGAAGAAGAAGAGUAUAAAACUAAAAAAUAAAUUGUAGUUUAAAAGUGUGAGGAAACUCCUCUAUUUAUAGCUAACAAAUAGUAGUAUGAAUAGGUGCUAAUUGUGUCUUAUCAGAAAAGCUACAACCUUUCAAAAAAGUCACUGCUCAUCGAAAAAGUCACAACCCUUUGGAAAAGUCACAACUCAUUGAAAAAGGCACAACCCUUUGGAAAAGUCACAACCCUUUGGAAAAAUCACAACCCUUCGAAAAGUCACAACUCAUCGAAAAUGUCACAACCCAUCAAAAAAGUUGCAAUCUUUUGGAAAAAUCACAACUCUUUGAAAAAAUCACAACUCUUUAAUGUGAAAAGGUAUGUAUUUUUAAUAUAAUACAAAUAAUUAAAUUAAUAAAUAAAAUAAAUUGAGUAUUUUUUAUUAUUAUAGUAAUUCAACAUUCGAGUUUGGGAGUUCAUGUUUUUAAGGUAGUAUAUAUAUAUAUAUAUAUAUAAAAUUGAACUAAUAUAAACAUAAUUCAUUCCAUGUUAAAAUUUUCUAAUGUUAUGCAAUAUUUAUGAACUUUUCUUUAUUUUUUUGCUUUAAAAUAAUAAACUUAAGUGAAAAUUUCAUAAAUAUCUAAGAGUUGAAACAUAAUGAGUUUACUUAGCUAUAGUUUGCCUAAUUACGUAACGUAGUUUUAGUUUCAGUAGCUAUGUCUUACUCUAUUUGUAUAUUUCACUAGAAUUUUUAUUUUUAUACAAACUAGGGAACGUAGCAGCGCUUCGUGCAAGUGGUACAAUAUAUGUGUUAGAAUCAACUUUCUUUUUGAUUAAUUAUAUGUUCACUGUAUUAAAUAUAUUGUCUGCAUUAUCCCUUGAUUUAAUUGUAGGAAGGAGGUAAAAAAAUAUCCCUAAAUUUUUGUUUAAUAGUUGGCUUUACCCUAGAAUAACGGGUCAUUCAUACCCAUUAUCUACAAACCUGUGAUUCGUACUCUUCAAUUGGAUAGAAAACUCUAAAUAAUAUGAAACUACCCAUUUUAAAAAAUAAAUAAUCCAUCAUCCGAUCUUAACUCAUGUCCGACCUCUAACUAUCUUAACCCAAAAAAAUUAAACUCAUGCCCGACAUUGGAUAGAAAAUACUAAAUCAAAUGAAAUUACCCAUUUUAAAAAAGAAAUAAUCCAUCAUCCAAUCAUAACUCAUGUCCGACCUCUAACUAUCUUAACCCAAACAAAUUAAACUCAUGCCCAACUCGUCUAAGUUUAUCUUUCAAUGGAUAGUAAUGAUAGUCAUGACCGUACUUGAACAUAAUGCAAGUUCAUUAUAUUUUAGUAUUUGAAUAAAAGAAAAUGGUGACUGCAAUGGAGCAUGUAAGGAUUCUGUUAUCCUUCAACUAUGAAAGGGUGUGUUAAUUUUAUCAAUGUGUAAUAUGAAAAGGUUAGCCAAAUAUUGACAAACUCAUAACCACAUAUUAGGCUAAUUUAUUAUAUUAAAAUUAGUAUAACUUACCUAAAUCCCAUAGUAUAAGACCCUAAAUUACAUUUAUCCCUACUCUUUUCUAUUUUACAAAAAUCCCUUAAAAAUCAGACAUCCAGAUACAUAAGUUUCCUCAGGAUACAUUAUAUAUGAUACAUCAUAAACUGUUUGUUGCGCUUAAUAUAGAAUAUUCAUGUAAAAUUGAUUUUCUAUCCCACAAAUCACGCAUAACUGAUUUUCUUCCAACAAAUCGGGCAGAACUGAUUUUCUUUUCCCACAAAUCACGCAGACGGAUUGAUAUCAUUCCAUUCCAAUCUGUACAACUUCACAAAAUUCAAAAUCAAAUUUUCAUCUUCUCUAUCAAUUCGAAAUCUUGAAUCUCAAAUCCUCCAUUGUAGAUGAUUGGACAAAUGAUUCACGAUUUCAAAUCAUCAAUUCGAAAUCGGCUAGUAAUUUGAAUUCAAUGUAUCACGCAAAACUAAUUGGACAACCUUGGUUGCUGCUAACAAGAUCCCUCUGUCAACUAGUAAGUUUCUAUUCCCUCUUUUCAUCUUUCGUUAUUAAAUUUUAAUUUGAUUUCAGAAAAGUUAUUUCAUUUCUUGUUAAGAGAAAAUUGAAGAAUUUGAGAAGAAAACAUUAAUGAAAUCAAGAAACAAAAAUGGGAAACAAUCAUCAUUGAUUGAUAUAACGAAUGAUUCCCCCAUUGUUGGUCUUGCUAUGGGGAAUUUAGAGACUCCAUCUUCAGAAAUAUCCAAAAAAUGAUUACUUGUCAAGCUAAAUACUUGGUUACUCCUGGAUCUUGCGAGGAUUUAUUGAGGGGACAAGUUAAGACUUUGUUGCAAAAGGUUGAAGAAGACGUUUUAUGUUGUCGUUUUGAUGUGAACAUGUAAGUCAUGAUACAUUAGUGGUAAACGACGCAUGUGUAUGAUAAUUUUAUAUGUAUAGAUUAUGAUGUGGUCAUUAUUUUGUAUCUGGAUGUGAUUUGUAUAAAAAUGUAUCAACAUAAUAUAUUGUAUAUGAUACAUGUAAUAAAUGGAUUAACAAUUGAGAUGAAUCAAAUAUGUUUUGAAUAUCGAGUGUGUAUCACAAAUUUGUAUAAAUGUAUCAGACUAUUAUUAUGUAUAUUGUACAUAUAAAUAGAGUAACAAUCAAGAUAUGUAAAUUACUUGUUUUGAUCAAGAAAAUUUGUGGAUAUAUAUANNNNNNNNNNNNNNNNNNNNNNNNNNNNNNNNNNNNNNNNNNNNNNNNNNNNNNNNNNNNNNNNNNNNNNNNNNNNNNNNNNNNNNNNNNNNNNNNNNNNNNNNNNNNNNNNNNNNNNNNNNNNNNNNNNNNNNNNNNNNNNNNNNNNNNNNNNNNNNNCUUACUAUUUUUAAAAUUCUUUUGCAAAAACAAAUUUUCAAAAAAUAAAACAAAAAAGGAAGGAAAUAUUCACUUUCUUUUUACGCCAAAAAAAUAUUUAAACUGUGAGAGAAAAUUUUCAAAACAAAAAAGGCACCUUAAUAUCAAAUGAAGGCGUUAUUUAUAUAUGGAACCAUUAGCUAAAUUUUAAAAUAAUAUUAAAUUCUCUUUAUCAUAAAAUUGGCAAUUUGUAUUCUUUUAUUAUAAUAUAUUGUUUAUUUAAAGAAUUAACAACUCCCAAUUCACAUGAAAAUAGAUGUGUUGACUAUCAUAUAUAAUCUAGUUUCAUCAUUAUUUUCAAACAAAAGGUUUCUAAGCAAUUAUGUCUUGGUUAUUCGUUCCUUCACAUUUCUUUGUAUUCCUUUUUUAGUCUUGAUCAAAUUUUAGUUUGAAGUAUAUAAUUAGUUAUAUAUGUACAGUUUAUACGAUAAAUAAGAUUGUUUUUCAAAUAAUGGAUAUGUAUCAUAUACCUAUUGUUGGAUCUGAUACACAGUGCUCCAAUUAUAUAACAUUACGAUUUAUAAAUCAAGAUUAUUAUUGGGUAAUAUGUACAUAUACAUCACAUUCUAAGUUGGAUAAGACCGAAGAGAUAUUAAAGAGUGCAGAUACAUAACACAUAACUGAUUUAUUGUUGUCUAUAUAGCCUUUCAAAUUUGAAUAAGAUUGAUGAUACAUUAAAGAACUUGUUACAUGUAAAUGAUACAUUAUGUAGUGUUUAUGUAUCAACAACAUUUAUAUUGAAUAUGCUAAAACUAAUUGAAUAUUCAACAACAUUAAGGUUAUAUAUCAACACCUUAAAUAUGAAUAUGAUACAUUACAUAAAACAAAAGCUACUAUGACGGUGAUGUAUCAAAUCAAUGACACUAACAAAGGGUAAUUUAAGAAUCAAAAUAAACGAGAUACAUUGGAAAUCUGUAUCUUUUACAGUGAUAGUAGUGUAAUGGUAGAUCCAACUUUUUUCCCUCUUUUUUGGACAUUUUUUCAACAGUAUAUUUAAAGCUCGAGAAUGUGUCCUUCCCCGAUUUCUCCGCUCACAAAUUUAUCACGAAUAUAAUUUGGUAUUGUGUACGGAUACAUAUUCUUCUAAAUUUGGAUAACCGUAGAAGAUACAUAGCAACACUUGAUACAUAAUAAAAUGAUACAUUUGGUAGAGACUACUUCUUUCCAUUUCAUAAUGUAGUUUCACCAGCAAAAAAGGAUCCCCUGGAAACGAAUUGUUUGCAAGGAGCAAUGUGGAUACAUCAUCGCUUUCACCUUUCCCUUAUGCAUUUUGUGAAGGUGGAAAGGGAGGAGAUCUGGUAGUUCUUUGGAAAAAAUGUGGAGCAAAGACUAACUUGGGUUCUUCGAAAAAAAUUGUGGAGCGAUCUUACUGAAAGGAGAGAGAACAAAUCUGAAAAUUAAAAAAUGAAGGAAGUAAAGAUUGAGGGAAAAAUCUGGAAAUUAAAAAAUGAAGGAAGUAAAGAUUGAGGGAGUGAAAAUAGGAAGAGAUUGAGUGAGUAAAAAUAGGAAGAGAUUGAGGGAGUGAAAUAAGGAGUAAAAAUGGGAAGAAAAACGUGUACAACUUGAUGUAUCCGGGAACGAUGGGGUUUGGUAGGAAAAAGAGGGAUUUUGGAAAUAUUUUAAAAUGAUAGGGAAUAAUAGAAAUUAUGAAAAAUAAAGGUGUGUAUAUAGGUAAUUUAUCCUUAAAAUUAAUAUCAAAAUAAGUUACUAUCAUUUCUUAAAAUUGAGAAUUAAUAUCAAAAUGAAGUCUUUCAUAGUGUGAGUUGUGACUACUGAUUAACAAAUUAAUCAAAUGUAAAUGUUCAUUUUUCUUUACACCUUUUUUUCUUGCAAUAAAAAAAAUCAAAGAAAAAUAUAAUAUAAGAUUGAUAAUUAAUAUCAUACCAUAUUUUUAGAAAAGAAAUCAACUUAACAAAACAAAGCAACUUUGUACAGUUCUUUCAACAUCCUAUUCUUUAAAGAAUGAAUGUGAAAAAUAUUCCAUGUUAAAUAAAAACAAUCAAUUUUACUUUGGAAUAUAGAAAUAACAUAAAAAUAAAUAAGUAAUGAAAAAUAUAUGAUAAUUGAAAGAUAUGAGAUGUAACCCACUUUUUUUUCUUCUCUAAAGUCUCUUUUUUGGUAUUUAUUUCUUGGUGUGAAUUGUGACACUAACAUUUUUUAAGGGUGAUUAUUUUUUCAUUUCUCUUAAAUAAAUAAAUUCUAAAAGAAUAAAGAGAUAAAAAAAUGAAAAAGAAAACUAAAAUAAUUUUUAAAAAAAUCAAUUAAAUGUAUCCAUUAUUUAGGAGACCAAAUUCCAAAAUUUGGUAUGACAUUAAUACAAUAUUCUUAAAAUUUAAAAUAGUGCAUUUAUAAGAAAAAGAUAAAAUUGAUACAUUUGAAUUUAUACAGUAGCUAAAUACAAGCUUGCAAUAUACAAAUAUAAAUAAAGUUUGAUAUAUUGCUAUUAAUUGUGUAUCAUAUUUCUAAUGCCUAACUUUAUAUAAUUGUAACGACCCGAACCGUCGUAUUUAGGAGAAACAAAAAAUCCGGGAAAAUUCAAGGCCUUUGUCCCGCCAGAGCAGGGUAGUUGCCGCUAGGGCGGGGUAAGCUAGCGCCAGAGCGGGAUAGGCGAGGCAGAACAUAAAUUACGAGAAAUUCUAUUUUCUCCAUCUUCCUAAAAUACCUUAAUAAGUCGUAAAACACCCUAGAAACCUCAGAAAAGCUGCUCUAAGCUUGGGAAGGAAGGAGAACAAGAUUUCUAAUGUAAGGAUGGUGAUAUCUUGCGGAUUCUUGGCCAAAUUCACAGUCACGACUCUCAGAAAACCGAAAUCGAAGACAGAACUUCGUGCAAUUGCUUGGCGCCCAGGUAGGCUAGGUUUUAUGAAUUGAGUAGUUUAAAUUUGUGCUCAUUGUGUAAUAUAUGUAAAUCGAUGGUAGGAUUUAUGCGUAGACCUUCGUGCAUCGAAUGAUUUAUGAUUUAAACCCUAGAAAGAAGCCUUAGACGAUGAAUUAGGGUUGAGUAUGGUCGAAUUAGGGUUUUGCAUGAAGAGUGUUGAUGAAUAAUCCAUUGUGAGGGUGGUGAUUCCAUGAUUUAGUGAUGUAUGUUGUUCUUGCUUUCAUUGUGAUACGUGUAGAUAUACGAAGUAUGCAGUGUUGACUACACUUAUUGUAAAUAGGGAUAUAUGAAUGACAAAUAGCGCCAUGAAUCAUAAAUUGUUUCUAUGAUUGUGAGAAUAUACUUGCGAUUGUAGUGUGGGGAAUGGAUCGGUUGCCACGUUUCAGCAUAACUAACUUGGAUCGGUUGCCACGUUCUGGCAUAACUAACUUGAAUCGGUUGCCACGUUUUGGCAUAACUAUGGGAUCAGUUGCCACGUUCCGGCAUAACUAUGGGAUCGGUUGCCACGUUCUGGCAUAAUUAUUGAAUCGGGUACCACGUUCCGGUAUGUUAACUGUUUCAAUUUGGGUUCCAUGAGAGGACCAAUGAUAUGCAUAAUUGUGUAGCUUGAGAAAUAUGAAGAUGUUCGUUGUUCGUAAAUGUUGAUAAUGUGGUACAUAUUCGAUAUAUACCUGUGACUAUAUGGUUGUGUUGACUUAUAUAGGUUGCACUUAGUGGAUAUAUGUUAGGACGGUUUAUACUUGAUUGUUCCUUGUGUUAAGCGAACUUGUUAGAUAUAGUGGAAGGGUAAAGUGUUCAAGGGGCGAGUAAUGGAUAGCAAGGGUUGUUCGUGUGUCAUAAUGGCGAGAAACAGAGGUAGGGUACGUGAAGUAAGUGCUUAAGUGGAAUUCACUUGGAGUAAGGUAAUUGUGUUUAGUGGUUAGAAAGCGUGACGUAAUGUACUAUGUGACCAUGGUUGAGUAAGGUGACAAGGAAGUAAGGGUAUGACGUGAGCGGAUAGUUGGGAUGCUUGUAGUGGUAAUUGAGGAUUUGUUAAUGUGUUAGAACGGUUAAGCUAUGAUCAAGAACCUAGUGUAAUUUGGGGAUAUUUUAAGAGAGGGUAAGGGUAGAGAAGUGAGUGGUCUAUUGUAUAUUUCUACUAGUUGGUUUCUUAUGUUAUGUGGUGGGCGUCGGGUUGACCGGUGAUGCCUACCAGCACGUGUGGUUUGUACUGAUACUACUCUUGCUAUGUCUUUUUGACAUAGUCUGGAUGCAGGUUGUUGAUGUUCCCUUAGAUGAAGAUAAAGAACUCUCCAGCAGCUUCUACUCUUCCUUCCGUAUGGUGGGAGCUGUGUCUUUUGUCUAAUAUGUCAGUUUGUACUCUUAGUAGCUCUUGUACCUGUUUAGACUAGACCCUUAGGAGUUGUUAAUUUUCCUUACAAGUUUGGAUGAAAAGUGUGUCUAAAGGAUAUUGUUUAAAAAAAUAAUCAUAUUAUUAUAUUUAUUUCCAUUAUUUCAAAUUUCCGCAUGUUUUAAUUGUUGGGUAUGAGAGUUCUCCUACUUAGGCGGUAGUAUGUAGGUGCCUGCACGGCCCGAUAAGUUGGAUCGUGACAAUAAUUAUAUAGAUAGAUUAGUUAAAAAUAUUAUGUUAUGAAACUAUUUAUAUAUAUAUAUAUAUAUAUAUAAAGAGAGAGAAUUAUAGUAAGCAAAACAUAAAUAUGUGAAGACUAAUAUAUAUAAGACAAAUACAUAUAUGAAAAAAAAGAGACUAAAUCAAAGAAUUGCUUCAUUAAAUCUAAAACGAUGAAAUAUAUAUUAGGCCUUAGUCGAACAACCUCUCUUUUACAAAUAAAAUUAUGAUUUCAAAGAUAUUACAAAGUUAUUCGUAUAACCUUCAUUUCAGAUAAAUCGAUUCUAUGAAAGCAAAAUCAAGAGGCAAUGGUGACAUCAUCAACACAUGCAUCAUAAUUUAUUUAUUUUAUUAAAUUUAAAAAUUUCAAGACAUAUAAUGCCAAAUAAAUUGAUAAAUGAAGAAUAGAAGAGACAUACAUCUCAACGUUUAUUUUACCAAAUUCAAAAUCAAUAUUCCAUUAAAAUACGCACUUAAAAAAAAUACAUUGAAAUCAGAGUAUACACCAACUUUCAAUAUGGAGAAUUUCCUUUUGAACGCAACAAUUACUUUCAAUUGUUUGUUGAUUUUGAACGAAUUUUUAUUGGACACAACAUUGAUACCCAACAACCACAAAUCAUUUUACCUCGUAACUUGUGUGAGCCUCUUCUUAUUCGUAAUAUAUUUAUAUGGUCAUUGUUUGAUGAAUUUAUCACAAUUAAUAUUUGCCUUUUCAGUUUUCAUUCCUUCAUAUUCUAUUCUAUAGAUUAAUUAUCAUUUUUAGUUUUGCCAUUAAUCUUUUUUCAUUUAUGUGAGUUGUCUGUUCAGUUGUCCAUUAUUAAAUCCAAUAAUCAAGAUACAAUUAGAGUUUUUCUAUUUUAAAAUUAUAGAAAUUGUCAAAGAAAAAGAGAAAAUGUCAAAAAAAAAAAAGAAGAGAAAAAAGAUAAAUAUGAAUGGUGAUCAUAUACAGGUAUCACAUCACCAAUUCUAUGUCUAGAUUUAUUAUAUAUAUAUAUAUAUAUAUAGAUUAGUCUAUUGCUAUGUAGUAUUCAUGGACUUUAUCUUUACUUAGGAAAGAGAAUCCAAAUACUAUAUUAAGAGCCUAUUUGGUAUUACCGCUAAAAAAUGCUUAUUUUUAGCAUUUUUUUUAAAAAUAGCUUUUCGAAAAAAGUGCUUUUAAAAAAUAAUAAUUUGUGUUUGGCUAAUUCAAUUGAAAAGUGUUUUUGAGAAUCAAAUUAUAUAUGUUGACACCCAAUUUUGACCCUCCCCGAGAAGAAUUAAUUUCCGAGCUUCUUAAUUUCAAACAAUUUGGAAUAAUUAAUUUGAUAAAAAUUGCAAAUGUUUUUCAAGUUAUUUUUAGGUAAUUUUAGUCAUUUUAUAAUUUUUAAAUAAUAAAUAUAUUUUUAUAUAAUUAGUAUAUUUUAUAAAUAUUCAAAAAUCUCGUCAAAAAGAUUUUACUUUUACAUAAAUAUUUUGUUUAGUUUAAGUUAUAGUUAAUAUUCUUAAAUUAAUUAGUUUGAUUAAGUUAAUUAUUUUAUUUUGUUAAGAUUAAGAAGCUCGUUAAUUAAUUAAUAUCAAUUUGUCUUAUUUAAUUACUAGCCAAAUCUAUCUUAACAAGAUCAAAUUGGCUAAGUUUUUCUAACCCAUUUCAAUUCCCAAUUCCAAUUCAAACCUCCAGCCCACCAUUUUAUUUCCCAGCCAGCCCAACAACUUAAUCCAAAUUCCGUCAGCCCACCCAACUCUUAAUUCUUUUAACACGGCCCACCUUCCCCUUUCCUUCACAAUAGAAACCCAGCAGCCCCAACGUUCACAAAAGCACAGCAGCGAUCAGACGGAAAAGCAACAGCAACAGAAGGCAGUAUUCUGUUUUCUUUGUUUUCUUCUUCAGACGUCCCUUUCAAUUAUUAAUAUCGUAACAGCAGGCAAUAGGCACGCGUUUUUCUCCCCUUUCCUCUUCCGGAAUGGGUUGAAAUCGCAAGGAAAAGGUGUCUCUCCAAAAGGAUGAAAGAUUUUCGAUUUUUAAAUUGUAAAUGGGCGACCUUGAAUCCGAUUUCAUCCCUUUCCCACCCAAAGAUUUCGAACCCUAGUAGUCUCCUAUAUAUAUUCUCCUCUUAUUCAUUGUAAAAGGGGGGAGAGUUGGAAUUUUCUUUUUUUUUAGCGAAAAUAUAAAGAGCAACUUAAGUGGAAGUAGUCUGAUAAUACUCCGAAAGAGAGGAAAUCAACUCGUUUAGGAUCUUUGCGUUCUUUUCUCUCGUCAGUGUCGUCCACUGCUCUGUCACAAGUUCCCUUUGAACUCGAGGGAACUAUUGGGAUAUUCUUACCCAGAUUUCUUGGUUGUUGUUUGAGUUCCGAAGUUGGUGGUAAAGUCACGGUUCUCACUGCUCGUUUGGUCUCAGUUGGCUCCCCCGAAAAGGUAACACUCUCUACGACCUUGGUUCAGUUUCGCUUUAGAUUACAAUGACUUAUUUGUGUUGUUUUCUUGGUUGUUAUGAAGAGUCCUUAGCGUGAUUUUCUGGCAUUGUUUAAUUUAAGUUGUUACGCAGUUUUAGUUUGGAUAUAUUGAUCUAGUUCGCUUGUUUAAGUUCUAAAUCAUAGCGUAUGAUUAUUUUUUUUGGCUGCAACCUUUAGGCUCGUCUAAAAUCGAUUUCUUUGCUGCUUGUUAAUCUUACUUGAUGUCCAUGAUUUUGCACCUAGUAUGAAUUCUUUUCAUGAUUAGUUUCGUAUUGGUUCGCCCUUAUUCCGAUUUCUCUUUCUGUGUCAAAGUUUGUUGUCAUAUAUCUUUGUUUUUUCAUCUUCGAAUCUUGCCGUGAUUGACUUGUUAAGACUGUUCUUGAGCUAGUUUUGAGUUGCUGAUGUUUGGCUAUUUCUCUCUCAUUAACCUGACUUCGUUCCUCUUUUACUGUUUGGUACGCCAUAAUGUUAAGUUUACGCCUCCCUUUCGUUUAGAAUUAGUCAAAAAAGAAAUGCUUAUCUACCGGUAGAGUUGGUCUGAAAUCCAAGUUUGUUUUCUUGUUUUCUCUCUUGUUCAAAUCUUGGUUUUGUUGGAAUUUGGUCCUAAAGGUCACUUGAGGUGUGAUGUCUUUGGCGUUAAUCUUUCAUGGGUGUGACGAGUUGACUUCUUCGGUAUAAGGUCAAUAGUGGUGAUUUGGCUACGUGCUAUGUGACUCAUUUACUGGUUUAUUUCUAUGUCUUAAUGAAUUUUUAAUUAAUGUGUAAAGGAGGUUUUAUAGAAUGGUGUGAGUUGAAGGAAUCAUUUUGGGUCUAAUCAAAAUUGUCUUCCUUUCUGUUUAGGAUUUGUUGUUUGUUUUUGGUGUAUUUAUCUAAGCUACUUAUUCAUUCGCUAUAGUUUAAGGUGCUAAGUGGUAAUUCCCUUGAUACAUUUAUUAUUUGGGAUUGUUUAAGCAUUGUUAAACCAUGGUUUGGAGAUAUUAUUAUUGGGUUACUAAUUUUAUUUCUCAUUCUUAUUGCAUGUAAAUCUGCUCGAGUCCUCGUGGACUCUACCCUUGCAUUUUCUCAUUAGGCCACGGAGGCCCAAUCCCUUAUUCGAGUCUACCGGCCAUUUAAAAUCGACGAACAGGUCCCGAAGUUGAAAGAAGCAACAAAUCGAGAAAUUGAAAAGAUUGGGCUAAAGUCCCACUCUUAAUUCCGAAAAAUUUGUAUUUUGGGCCUAAGCCCACUUAUCUAUUGUCUUGCUAGAAUUUAGGACAUGUGCAGAUGACUCAAAUGGGCCCAAAUACUGUCCCAGGCGGACAGGAAAACCAGAUUUGGGCCCAAGUCUCUUUCCCUCUUUAUUUUAUAGCAUUUAUUUACUUGUCAAUAUUUGCUACUAAAUCUUAAGCAGAUGACUCAAAUGGGCCCAAAUACUGUCCCAGGCGGACAGGAAAACCAGAUUUGGGCCCAAGUCUCUUUCCCUCUUUAUUUUAUAGCAUUUAUUUACUUGUCAAUAUUUGCUACUAAAUCUUAAGGUUUUAAAAAGAAAAUCCCCAAAAGAUACCCGUUUUGGUUUUAUAACUUAAUUAAAUCAAUCACCUUUAACGAGGCCUAAAAAAUUAAUUUUUCAAAAUAUUUCACUUAGAUAAAAUCUUAAUAUUUCCCAUUUCCCGGUCCUAAUUAUAACAAUUGUUCAAAAUCAGAUUAAGUCAAAUAAAUUUAGCCAAAUAAUUAAUUGCCGGAUAACCGCGUAUUAGCGGGCAUUUCGGGUGCUUUCAAACCCGUCCCGAAAUGCUAAUAAGAACCUCAAACCCCCCUUGAAUAUUUUCAUUAGAUUUCUGUUUUAAUCUUUUGAAAAAGUAGUUUUCUUGAUUUUUCUUAAAAAUUAAGUGACGACUCUUAAAACCAGUUAAAUUAUAUUUCCGAAUAAAAUAAUAUCUAUAUAUAUAUAUAUAUAAAGACAAGUAUCAAGGGAUGGUUGGCAAAAUAGCCACUUUGAAAACUUAGUGGUCUUGAUCUUGAGUUGUGUUUUAAACUUGAAUGCUUGAACUUAUAGCUUGUUGAGAAAUUUGUGACAUUUGAUCCACAGAGUCUCUCUGCUUUUUGUUAGAAUUAUGGAGAAUUUUGUGAAUUAUGAGCAUCCCUAUUUAUAGUUGUCGAAUGAAAGAUAUGUGAUGAGGACGGACUUCAUUCGGACAAUCAGAUUAAAGAGACAUGGUGAUACUUAAUUGGUCGGAACAUGUCACUUGUACAUACGUAACACAUUUUUAUUGAUCUUUGAUUUGGCUAUGCAUGUUAAGUCAUUUUGACAUGUGGCAUGAUCCUAUUUGCUUAUUCAUUUAACUUGACCUGCUACAUCAUUUGACAUGUGACAUCAAAUUGGGUCUCUAGAAUAAGAUGCCAUAUUGAGCUAAAAAAGGUGGGUUCAUCAUUUGUAACCUAAUUUGAUGGACUAGAUCAAUGAAAUUCGACUUUAAUUAAAUCCAUAUGUAUUGAACUUAAAUAAUUAAUCCAACUAUAUUAAUCCACAAUAUUUAUUUAGACAUUAGGAUAAUUUUAUGAAUUUAUAUCUUAUAAAUUUUAAAUGAUUACACAAUAUACACAAGUAAUAAUUUAAUUAUACAAGACUAAGAGUACAAAUUUGUUUAAUGGGCUAGAAAAUUUAUUUAUCAUGUCAAUUUAAUAUACUGAUCUCUACUUAGUAUGUUAAAUACAUACAAAAUAUAUUAGCACAAAAAAGAUAAAACUAUACCUCUUCCAUAAUUAAGAUAAAUAAUAUUUAAUCUUAUGCACUUUGUUCAAUUUUCAUAUUUAGAUUGUGAACCUAAAUUUAUACUUACAAAAGUUAAUAAUUUAAUAAUCUUUCAUAUAUAAGCUAAACUUUAUAAACUAAAUCAUCUACUAUAGACAUACAUAUGAAUACAUGAUCUACUAAAUUUUUAUUAAAAUUAAACAAAUAAUUAUUCUAUACUAAAUAUUAUUUCAAAUUACAUAAUUAAUAACAUAUAUCCCAACCAUCUGAACACCUAGAGCCACCACACACUUCUAGUGAUCAUUUGGAGGCAUCUGUUAUAACUUGAGCUAAUAGCCUAAUACCAAAAAAAGAACUUGUUUCUUCUUUUGUUUCCCUAGUAUUUCUAUUAAUUCUUCAACAUCAACUCGAAUUCUUAAUUUAUCGGUUGAGGUGAACUCAAAAUUUAAAGACUUUGGUGUACCAAUAUUAUCUUAAUUUAGCAUUAGAGAAACUUUCAAUGGUCAAGGUGGGUUUGUUCUACUUAAUGAUCAGUUCGAACCCUUAUCUAGCAAUUUUAAUGUUAUAAAUAAACCUCCUUUAAAUUUAGAACUUAUAAAUGAUUCUGGUUGGGCUCAAACCAAGGUAGCGAGGGCGAAUACUUCGGUCUGUACCAGUCGUACAAAGUGUCAUUCUAUACUUUUCAAAGAUAACGGAUGCAUGUGUACCCUUACCUAUGUAUGUAGGUUCGCCUCUGUUUAUCGAAAAUGAAACUGCUCAACUAUUGAAAUAAGUCUCACUUGUCAAACGGUAGACUUCAUUAAGGGUAUGACUUAUUAUAAUAUAAAGUUGAAGAGCAAUGUAAAACUCAAAAUGUUGAGCUAAUUAGAAUUUGUGAUAGCCCAUCAAGAAAAUGAGAAAUAAAAACAAAAAGAGAAAAAUGACUUCAAAUUGUCUUAAUCCUUACUCUAAGACAAAUAAAACUUGUUGCUCUCAUUGCACCAACUAGCAUGCAUUAUUUUGAUUGAUUCAUACGAAACCUCCUACUUUAAUUAUUCCUUUAAUUUUUAUCUCCACCUUAACUUUCUUUAUUGAACUUGUGAGCAUAAACAAAAAUAAUAUUAUUCUUUCCCUCCUAAUUUAUGUACUACUUUUUAAAAUUAAAUUAAAUUAGAUCAAUUUAAUAUUUUAAUAUAAAAAUUUAGAUAUAUGUACUAUAAGUUACCGUUCUUCUUAUGUCAAUAUAAUUAAAGUUGUAUUUUAAAAUAUUAAUCAAAGUUCGUAUUGUUUGAAUUUCGAAAAGCAAAAAAUAUCAUAUAAAUUUGGAUAAAAUGAUUAUAUGACUACUCAUUUAGAUAUUAUGAGAUUUUUUUAAAAAUAAAAUAAUCCAAAAACUCACAAAAAAGGUGAAGGGAGUAUUAUUUUUUAAAACUAUUAAAGAUUAAGGAGAUUACAUAAAAUUUACUCAAAGAAAAGACAAAGAGUACUAUAAACAACCAAAUCCCCAAACCAUAUACUCCCUCAAAUUUAUUUUAUGUAGUACUAUCUUUUUAUUAAUUUAAUCUACUUAAAAGGUGACAUCAUUCAGUAAUUAAAAACAAUGAAAUCUUAAAUAUCAUUUAUAUUUAAUACCACGUUUUUAUAAUUACAUAAAUUUUAUGAUAUACUUCUAAAACUAUACCACCUACCAGUCCACCACUGGUGUAUUAGCUUCGCAGUAUUUUUUUUAAAAAAAAUAAGAAGAGGAGAAGUGUGACUUAUUUUAGAUGUUUUAAGUAAAAUAAUUUUUACAUAUUUUAUAAUAUUGGAGUAAGAUGAAUAGGAGGGUAGAUGGUUGAGUUGGUUCAGAUUUUUUAAAUAUCAAAUUAAAUUAUUUGUGUUAAAUUUUUAAAUUCAUGAACUAAAGCUAAUAAAACUCAGGUUUUUCAACCUCGAGUUUUUUUGAUCAUUUUUAGAUUUUUUCGAUAAAGUAUUAUAAAAAUAUAUAAUUAACUUGUGCUCCAAAUGUUGUUUUAGUCCUACCAAUAUACAACUAUCUAAGGUGUUUCUUAAGAAAAUAACACAAAAUAUGAUAUCAAUGCUGACACUAAAAUAUUCAACAAAAAAUAAUAAUGAAAACGCAUAAAAUAAAUACUAUAAAUUAAUAAGACAUAAUGAAAAUGAUUAUAAUUUAAAAGUACUCAAACAUUGCUAAAAUAAGUCUAAUAAGUAAUAAGUAUUUAAGUACAUGAUUAAAUAUUAAAGAAAACUUAAAAUUAGGUUAUGUAUCAUAAAUGUUUAAGCCAAUGUAAAGCUAAAGAACAAAUAUUUAACAUUAUUGUCACUCUUAGUGUUGAAUUAAUUUAUUUUGUUACCAUCAAUACUAAUUUGAUUUUGAUUCGAGCUUAAUUAGAAUUACUAAUAUCUAUGGAUUAUAACAUUUAUUGGACCAUUCAAAAUUUCAAGUAUCAAAAUCUAGAAAUAAUAUGAUAAAAGAUUACAAUUAUGAAAAAAUAUAAGAAAUAUUUAGAAAUUAUAUUAAAGUAAAUAUUUUUAUGUAUAAAAUAAAUUUUAAAACUAAUAUAUAUAUUGUCGGAUUAAUUUGACCUCAUGGUGAUUUUUUUUUUUUAGUUAAAAUCAAUCAACUCAAGUAUAGUGGUUUUUUUUUUCAAUACCAAAUCAAGUCAAUCAAAUCAUUAGUCGAAUUUUAUUCAAUUUGACUUGAUUCAAUUUUCGGUUCAAUUUCGUAAUUUCAAAUAAAAUAAUAAAUUCUAACUUGUAACUUAUGUUAAAAAAAUUGUAUGUGUGUUUUAAAGGAAAUUGGAAGACAAAAUUAGGAGGUGAGAUUAAUAUAAGUCCAAGGAAGUGAGCAAAAUUAGGCAAGUCCAGCCAAACGCCCUUUUAUUAAAUAAAAGAAGAAAAAUGAAAUACGUCGAUUUUUUGCUGGAAAGCAGACGUCACCAUCAGCGGUCAUUGUGUGUGUGUGGGAGUCCCAUCUAUAUAUACUUCCAUUUAUUACUUUCUCCGUCUAUUUUUAAUUUUUUGAUAUAUUAUUUUGAAAUGUCUAAUGGUAAUAUUUAUCUAAUUUAUAAAGUCAAUAAAAGAAUUUAUGAUUUUGUAUUUAUUUUAAUCUUGAUAUUAAAUAUUAUUCAUUUUUCUAAUAGGAAUGAAUUGAUAUCAAUUACUACUUUUUAAUUUACGAGUUAAGUUAAUAAUAGACAGUGAAGAGGAAGGAAGGAGAGGGAAUAUUAGUUAUAUAAAACAAAAAGGAAGGAAGGCAGGAAUUUGGUGAAUAAGAGUGGCACUCCAUUACAGCUGGAUAAUGUCUUGUUGUGUGUGGGUUAACUUUUCACAUGACAUCUUUUUUAUUCAACUGAAAAUGCUUAUCUUUAUCUCCUCCUUUCUUGUGAGUAACACCUAUUUUCUUGCUUGCUUGUGUUAAUUAGUAUAAUUAUAAUUAUGUUUUGCAGCAGAAAAGAAGACAAAAACAAGUGUCUGCUUGCAUGGUGGUUCUACGUAUUUGUCUUUGUAUCUUCCACUAAAUUAUUAGUCACUCACGAACGAGUACUGACUACUGACUUAAUUUUACACAGAUUCUCCUCGAAUAUCGCACCAGGUAUCAUCAAAUGCAUUUGGUCUUUACCAUAUAUUUGUGUAAAACACAGUAAAUAAAAGUUUUGUUAUUCUCAUUUUUAAUAUAUCACUGUUAAUCACGUGUUUUCUUCAUAGAUGUUAAGCCUAUUAAACUGAUGAGAUUUAUUCUUGCAGUUGGAACAGAAGUACAACAACAACUAUUACUGCGCCUAAUUAAUUCCUACACAAGUUGGUAGCGCCUAAUGAAAUUUGUUUUGAUUUUCAAUUCUUCUUUCUGAUAGAAAUAAUUAGUAGCAUGGAGGUGUGUUCAAACUUUUGAGGAAAGAAAAUAUGGAACAGAGGUCUCUUGAAAGAGUUGUUUCACAGAGGGCUCUGCAAAUAGGAAGCUCAUUUCCAUGCCAAAUUUGUGUGCUUGGCUUUCUAUCUGGUGUUUGUCUCACUUCUUUAUUUCUUGCUUCAUUUGGUGGCCUUUCACUUUCAUCUCCAAUUUCAACAUUCACUUCUUCUUCAACAACCUUAAUAAGUAAGUAGACAUCAUUUUUCUUCCCUUCUCUUUCAAUGUUUUUGUUUUUGUUGAUAAUGAUGGAGCUUAGCUUGAUUGUUCUAUACUUAUAUAUUCGAUGAUAUUGAAGGUUUCAGUUUUGGAUAUCACCAAGAGUGUUUUUUAAGCAACCUAAGUUUGGAAUUAUUUGAAUUUCACCUCUUUUCUUUUUAUUCAAAUCCAAAUAAAGCCUCUACUUUGACUGUUGUCAUACCUUUCUAUUGAGAACAGAGGUCACCGAAGUUGCUUGGAUUUUUCACUCUGUGUCGACACGGGUGUUGGUGUAGGUGACCCAUUUUGGGCACUUUGAUCAAAAUCAAUGGGAAAAUUCUGGACAGUUAAUGAUUUUUGUGAUCAAUACAAAAACUAAGUUGAAAUUGAAAAAAAUGGAAUACCUUUUCUAUGUCACUCCUUUUCCUUGAAUCUCCUUCAACGUUUCUCCACAUAAUAUCUCAUAAUUUAGGUUUUAUAACUCUAUUUUUGGUGAAUCCCCGUACUCAUAUCCAUAUCCCCGAAUCGUAAAAAUGAAGGAUCCGACCUCUAGAUCGGCAACCAUAUCGGACACCAAUCUCAUAGACAUAGAUAGGAUAUUGGAUUAGCAGCGGCAUGACUGCUGACAAAUUAAAUCAAACUAUGGGAUUUAACUACUUUGCCUAGUCAUUACAAUCUAAAGUUAGUGCAAUAGAAAACAGUAAUUAAGCUAGUGUUUAUUAACGUCCUGUGUUGUGACUCUACAGAUAUUCCCAGUAUAGUAAAUGAGAAGAAAAUUGGUUGUGAUCGUCGUCUCUUAAGCACUAAACAACAUAUUAUUACAUCUUCCUGUCACUAGUACACAACCAGAAAUGAAUCUUAUGUACUGACCUUGUUACAGGUGGAGAUUGCAAUGUUAAACAAAAGAAUAUAGAAAGGCGGUUCUUUUCCCACGAAAAGUUGGCACUGGGGGUACAUGAGAGGGUGUCAUUACUCUACUCAUCUUGGGGUAAUUUAGUGAAUCAAUCAGCAAAUGAAGGCAAAUCCAACUUACCAAAAGCACCUCAUUUGGAGGACUGCAAGCUAAGUGCAGAAACAAAUGAACGACUUGAUACCCGACUUCAAAAUGAUAGCUUCCCUCCAUGGACUAUAUGGAAGGGACAGUUAGAUAACUUCCCGUGGACAGCUGAAGGUGAACAGCUUCGAUAUUAUAGACAUCAAACAGUAUCUGAAGGAGCUUAUCCUCCCUGGGUAUGUUAUUUUCAUGCAUUACUUCUAUGCAUAACCCAAUUUGUAAAAGAAUGAAGAUACACCUGUACUAGACAUUUUUUCUUAUUAAAAACUGUUAAAUAUAGUACCAAAGAGCAUUUCAAAUAUAAGAAUGAAUUGCAGAUCAAGGGCUCAGAUGAAGAGAAUUACCCUUUAACCAGGAAGGUGCAACGUGACAUAUGGCUCCAUCAACAUCCUUUGAACUGCAGUGAUGGAAAUGUAAAGUUUCUGAUAGCUGACUGGGAGAGAAUACCCGGGUUCGGUAUUGGUGCACAGAUAGCUGGAAUGUGUGGUCUUCUUGCAAUAGCAAUCAAUGAGAAAAGGGUUCUUGUUACGAGCUAUUAUAACCGUGCUGACCACAAUGGUUGUGAAGGUAGUUCUAACUGUCACUGCAUGUUCUUUACACUUUUAUAUCCCUUUGGGUCAUCCAGUUCAACAACAAUUGACCAAAUAUAGUUGUAGAAACCACAGGAGAUUUGAGAGCACCAAAAAGUGAUAACUUUCCUAUUAGUUUGAUUCUAUAGCAUACGUCUUGUUUUGUUGUUAAACCUUCAAAAAUUGAUUGGUCUCUAAACAAACAUUAAAUUAUGCAGUGUUAAGUAAGACUAUGGAGUUUCUUCCUUAAUGUAUUUUGAAGUUGAUACAUGAUAUUGAUAUGUUACUUUAUGUAUGUGUAUAUGGCUAUUGGCGUGAAAUUCUAUCAAUAUUGCCUUCAUAGGUUCAUCACGCUCCAGUUGGUCUUGCUACUUCUUUCCAGAAACAUCUCCGGAAUGCAGAGAUCGUGCUUUUGAGCUCAUGAAACACAAAGAAGCAUGGGAAAAAGGGAUCAUAACGAUAAAAGAAAACUAUACGUCUAAAGAG
rnacentral:lncRNA from 1 species